GCGGCCUGGCGAGACCACAAUUGCUCUACUCCACAGAUUGACGAGCCCUCAGAUGCCGAUUUACUGUACAUGGCAGCCACUCUGGAGCCGAGGCACAUCUGGAGUGGAGUAAGCUUACCGAGAAACAGGGGCCAGCUUUAACUGGAGCCAGUGGAACUGAGAGCAGCCGAUGAAAGGCAGCUUUCCCGCCUUCCCCUUCCCCUCAGUCCCUGGGUAGAUUUCCUAAUGUAAACAGAGUCGAUGGGGGGAAGAACACAGUAACUCUUUGCAGAAUGUUUGUUGUUUAAUGUGCUUUAUCUACUUGAGGUCAAAAUAGUGCCUUAGAAAAACAGAAGCUUUGCUUUUCAUCUAAAUAGCUAAAAGCCUGCGUAUUACUAUAGUGGUUUCUUUCUUUCUUUCUUUCUUUCUUUCUUUCUUUCUUUCUUUCUUUCUUUCUUUCCAAGAGGUUGGAGUGGGAAAAAGUGGCACUUUUGUGUUUAUUUGCUCCUUUUUUAUUAUCAUUUAGGGGCAUAAUUUCAUUAUCUCAAACCAAAUGAAAAACAAACGGUUUGUCUCUGCUAAAGUUCUCAGUGCCUCUUUUUAAUGUAUAGGAAGAUGCUUUAACCCACAAGAAGGGUACAUAUCUGUUUAUUGUAUGUACCAUUUAAACAGUAAAAAUCUAAAAGAACAAAAAGAUCCGCCAAACUCAUCUGUUCUGAUUUUUAAAAAAUAAAUCCCUCCAACCCUCCAUUUAUAUUAUUUGAAAACAGAAUAAAAAGAUUAUAGAUGGAAGCUUUGUUUUACUGAACUGCAAAUAACUUGUGCAUUCUGGUGCCAACUGGAACUCAGGGGAUUUUUAAUUUCUUUUCUACAUCCAGAGGAUAUGGUUGUUUUAAUCUGGAUGGACCAAUUUCCUAACUGAAUCUUUGAGUUAUUUAUUUGCUAACAAUAUAUGAGGUUUUUAAUAGCAGAACAAGAAGUUUGCAUGGAAUGAGAAGCUGACAUCUUAUUUCAUAGUUAAUUAAAGGGGAAGGCAUAUAAAUGAAACAGAAGAGCUGUGGGUUGAAGGGAGAAAUUGUGAUAGGGGUUUCAUAUUACACUUCAUAAUCACUAAAAUGAAAUGGGUCGAAUUUUUAAAACACUCAGCGGGCCUUUCAAUUUUAAUCCUACCGUAUUAAAGAUAAUGAUACAACAUAAGUUUAGUCGGAACAUGAUUAGGCUGGUGUUGAGAGCUGGAGGAUAUGGCAUAUCGACUGCAGUAUGGAGCCCCACACAACUAAUCUUGAGACCCACACAGGCAUUCAGGAAUCUUGUUUUUCCAAUGUACCUGUUUCCUUUGCUCACCUUUCAAAUCCCAUCUAAGGUUUCUCAAAUGCAAAAGGAUGCAUUAAAAGUGUUAUUUGGACCACAACUUGCUAAAGGUUUCUGAGCAUUGUUGCCUGACUCUGGUGAAAUGUCAUUUUAAAUCAGCAAUCCUGUCUAUACCCACUUACCAAGAAGUAGGCCUCAGUGAAUUCACUGGGGCUUUUUCUGAUUAGACGUGAACAGGAUUCUGCUGUUAGUUUGCACACUGCUUUUUAUGUACUCAGCAUCACUUAAUAGGUAAACUAAAAAAAAGGAAGGGUUUGCAUAAAAAGAACUCUAUAGAAAUUUUGUCUUUAAAAAUAAUGAAUAUAAACAAAAUAAUUGAACCCCCUUUGAAAAAGGAAUGCUUAAAUAAAAGAAAACACUUCUAAUUAAUUUUUAAUUAAAUGAUUUAAUUUAAUUGUAUUAAAUUAACAGUGAUUCAUUUAUGUUGAACAGUGUCUCAGUAUUGUGACAGGAGCCUCUGCAAGCAAGCUCCCAUUUCCUAUUGGAUGCCUGGAAGGAGGAGAUCAGCAACUUGGCUGUCUGGCUUCAUGGAGUACAAGAGAGUUCCUGCUGCUCCAUUCCUUCUAGGAACCUCUUCCCUAGUGGGUAGAUGAGAACUUAUCAUAGAGGCCCUUGAACUAUUGCAGGGGGUCUAAGAGACAAGGCUCAUUGUAAGGGGCAUUCAGAGGCCUCCAAUCAGCAACUGCCUCAGGAUUCUUGGAAUGAGUGUUGCUAUUCCACCUCUUCCAGCUCUCAAACUGGGAGGUGGACAUUUAUCACAGAGCUGCCCUACAGAUAACUGCUUGUGACUUGGUGGGAGGACCAUCUCGCAGUAAGUGGAGCAGUAGUUAGACUCUUGUACUUAGAAGAGCUGGUGGGGCUAACAGGGAUGUGAGAAAAACAUUGUUUUGUCCUCAUCAAAAAAAGCACAUUGUUCCAGAGGGUCCUGCAAUGCUGCGUGGAGGACACUGAUGUGUAAAAUGCUGAGUGUGGGUGUCUGAAGAGGAACCUCUACAUGCAACCAGGACCCUGUUUGUUCAGGCAUCUUGAUGGUGAGGAGCAGCGAAGUCUCCUCUUCAGAGGUCCAUGAUCGCCACACGGAUGUCAGGGGGUGGGGCUAAAGUGGUCAUAUGAUGGCAAGGGCAGGUCCAGCAGCACAGCCUUGCUCCUUGGUCUACACAUGAGUGCCUCCUACAUGAAAAAGAUGUGAAUAAGACUUGUGUUUAUGAAUUAAUAUGAUGGGUGUGUGGCCUUUCAGCCCACAUGGUUUAAGCACCUCUGUCUCUGAGGUACCUUCUCUUUUCAACAGCUGAAGACUUGUUCAGUCUGUGAGCACUUGUUCUAGCUCUUCUAGUCUCUGCAUUUGUAUUGUUUGUUGAAUCUUGCUCAAUACUCCACAGUGUAACCAUUGUAUUGGAUAGAACGAUAUACAGCACCCUAGCAGCAUGCUAGAAAAUGCUUGCUGGUGCCCCAUUUCUCCACUGGCCAAACCAGAAGUGGCAACAUUUACACAGUCAUCUAUUGUGUGGUUUUUAAAGAGGAAGUAGCACCUGUGGAUUAGGUCCCUGGGCCUCCUAUUUGCCUUGUGACAAAAGGGUUAAUGGGUGCUACCAGGGUCCCUUGCACCUGUUAUUUACUCUAAGAAAAUAAUGGUGUCCCAUCUAGUCUGGUCCCUAGUUGGAGGGAGGUGAACGGUGGCUAGGUUUUUCUUAAAGGAGCUGUAUGCAGUUAGUUCACUAUCCCUAGAUACAAAACACAGGGCACUAACACAAAUAUUCUUAUGAACCUGAAAAGGCUGCAUACAGAUCUGUGCUUGUAUGUCCACUGAAUAAACAGUACACAGCAGCACAGACAGCUUUGACAGUACCAAACACCUUUUUGUGUGUUGAGUGAGUGUGUGUGUGUGUGCGCCUGCUGGAUUUAAACUACCCCAAAUGGGAUUGGCUCUGUCAAAGCAGACAAUGCCAAAAAAAGUAAAAGAAUGCUUCGGUAAAGUAUUCACCCCUGCCAGAUAUCUACCUUCUACUGCAUACAGAGCCAAAAAGAAAGAAGUAAAGCUGAGCAGCAAGAAGAUGAAUGAGAAAAAUGCUACAGAUAAAAGCACAGAUAAUUAGGAAAUAUGUUAGAUUUUCUGUUAGACUCUGUAAGAUUAUUUAGAGCUAAUCUGUGUAUGUACCAUUCAAACCGCCUGUUCAUAUGACAAGAUGCUUUGAAUGGAUCAUAGGAUGAGAUAAUUACCUUAAAGGACAAAAGUGAUAUACUGUAUUUGCUUAAAAAAUGGAUUAGAUAAGCAUCUAAGCCUAAUGAUUUAUCAGAACACAUUCCUCUCUGGGAGUAUCUUUAAAAUUGUCACCAGUACUUUCCAGCCAAUAUGCUUUUCUAAGCAGAAUGGUACCUCUGAAGCAACAAAAAAAAGUAAUUAUUUGACUCCUAAUUUACAUGUGGGAUUACUUGAAGAUUUACACAACUGAAACAACAUAGUAUGGAUUGAUUUACAGAUGUAAUUUUCCUUUCCUUUCUUUUUCUUGAUAGGUUUUCUACUUUAGCCCACACAAUCUUGGGGGUCUGAAUAUAGAGUAAGAAUGCAUUUUCCUCAUAAAUUGCAGACUAUUUAUUUCUGUGCAGUUAGAUUAAUAACAUAUAUCCAAACUUAAACAGUAGGUUUAUGCAAAACCACGCUUUAGCCACAAAUACUUGCCUUACCUGAUUUUCCCCUCUCCAAAUGGAUUAUACUUGCAGAAAAUCUGGAAAAAAGCCAUUUGCAGCCCCCUUUCCUUGAAUAGGUAUGCAACUCGAAAUUGAUAUAAUGCAUGUAACAUAAAAUACCAAACAGGAAAACUGUAAGACAAGAAUAGUAGAGAGACAGGCAAUAGUGAUUAUUCCAUAAAGACUUAUAUUAAUAGAAGAGCAGGACUUCUGAAAAGGUUGUGUCAGCCGUUCAAGAACAGAUAUAUAAUUCCUCUUCCAGACACAUGAUAUGGAAGUACUAUGACAUCGCAGACACCAUGGAGCCAUUGAUUUGGAAACAUAUGAAACUACUAUCAGAAUUUGGUUUAAGACCUCCAGUCAGUUAAAUGUUUAAACAUGGGUUUCAGAGUGUACAAAAACGGGAAGCAUUUGCAUAAAUUUUGUGGCUUACAGCCAUGCAAAUUGACUUUGCUGAAGGUAAGUCUCCAAUACUGAAAUGAGCCAAUUUAUUUUGGAUUGGAAAACCUUAUUUAGUUGCAUAGUACAGGUGUUUAUAAACUUUAUAAACCUAGUUAUUCUUUGGAAGAGAUUCUGUACCAUAAAGGUACACGUUCCUUUUUAACCAGGCCUUUGGUUGAUUUGAUUGAUAUCCUAUGCCCUUUUAAAAUGUGUUUUUUGCGGGGAGGGGGUGUCAUUGGGUUGUUGCUUUUAUUUUGAUUAUGCAUUUUGUGGUUUUACGUUUUGAUUUUAUUCUGUGAACCGCCCUGAGUCCUGCAGGUAUAGGGCGGUAUAUAAAUUCAACCAACCAACCAACCAACCAACCAAUAAAUAAAUAAAUAAAUAAAUAAAGCACACCAAAAUUGUGAUGAAAUGGUUGUGUGAAAGUGUGCAGAUGUAUUAUAACUGCUCUGUUUACAAAUUCAGGUGCUUGAGAAGAUUAAGAAAAUGUGAAGAUGGGCAUAUUUGUAGGACAAAUACAUCCUAUAAAAACUUGAAACAAAUAAUUUCUGUUUUAGAAAAAAACCUACAUGUUCACUAGCCCAAUUAUGACCACCUGAGAUUUUUGAUGCAGCUAUCAGGAAUGGUGCUUACCUCUGAGUAGACAUUCAUAGGAUUGAACUGUAAGUCUCCAUAACUAUCAUUGUUGGGGUUUUUUUGUUUUUGUUUUUGCCUGUUUAGCAGCAGAGUAAUUGAAUUACAACCUGUCAACUGUAAACAGUAUUUCGAAACAAAACAAAACAGACAGGGUAAUAUUUCUCCAACCAAAAUAUGUACUUAUUGCAUAAAUUUUCAGACUAUAAUUCCGUUCCAAAUAUAAAUAUCCUAAAAUAAACCACGGUACAUUUUAGAAUAAGCACGAACUAAAACAAAGAAAUUGAGAGAACCACUAGAAGAAGAACAAAAACAUAGGGAAAGGAAACCACAAAAAUGGGGGGGGGGGAGAGAGAGAGAAUUGGAAUUGCAGGCAUUAAGUAAUAUGCUGAGUAAGCAAAGAAUGCUGUAAAGUACAACUAGGUGAGGAGAACGGAAGAAAAAUACCACAAGUUUACUGUCGAAUCAGAAAGUAAUAAAUCCCUUUAGCUGAGGCAGAUUCUGUUUCCUUAUUCCAGUGGAUUCAGAUGUGGAAUUGUAAAGUGUGGUGUUAUGAUGCAACAGGAGUUUGAUUUCUGGAAAUACUGUAACUAGAGGUGGUGAGGUUGGAACUCUUAUCACUAUAUAAGGAAAGGUCAUCUGGAUGAAAACCUCAGACACAUUUGACCAGCGGCUGAAAUGUGGACAUUUUCUAUGUUGUUGCGGUCAAAACCCAUACAUUUCAAAUCCUCAGCUUAACAUGGCUCUCUUUUUUUACCAUUUAGAGUUAAGAUAUCAGCCUCUUCCUACCACAUUACUACAAAGAAAACCUAGCAGUGGCUGCUACUGAACUCUAUAAAUACUUGUAAUAUCUCCCCAUUGAUCUUGAUUGCAGAAAUAGCUUUAAUGGAAGAAAUGGAACUCUAUUAAUACAGAGAAUGAUUUUAAAUGAGAGUUUCUUUGAUUUCAAGAUGCCUCAGCCUUCUGCAGGUCUGCACCAAGACACCUAUCAACACAAGCUCUGCUAUUCUGAGGAACACAUAUUGUAGAGGGAUAUGAAUAAUAUUGAAGGAACAUGAAAGGCAUGUAUCAAUUAAGAUGAGGAGAUGGUUCUCGCCCCUUCUGAAGAGUUGCCUAGGAGGACUAGCAUGGAUGGAUAGCCAACUCACUGUCUCCCUUGCGUCACUGAGCAGAAUUCUGAGCUUCACUGAUGAGCUGUAACCAGAGGCAUAGCAUGGGGGGCUUUCUAUAUUGUUGAGACUAUAUUGUGUGGGACCCCCUACAGAAGAUGCAUACAAGGGGGCAUGAAGAUUGUCACUCAUAAUAGUUUAUUUGCACCUGGAAAACUUGAGUCCCUGAUAUGGCACAUUUGCUUAUUGUGGCCUUGCACUGAAGCACAUGAAGCCAGAAAGAAUCAGGCAGGAUACUAACAAAUAGACCCCCCCAAGGGAAUUGAAAAGGUCUAGACUUCAGUUUGUAGUGAAGCUCCUUGUCCCAUGCAUAUAUGGCUGAUUUCUUCAUUUUCUAGGUAUCCCUUUGCUUCUUUUUAAAAGUAAAGUUUGGAUUUCAGCAGAAGCAAUGCUGUACUCCUAUCAUUUUGUGAAUGUUGAAAUACCAUAACUGUGGGAAAUCAAUUCAAGAAUGCACAACACAACCAAAGGCAAAUAAUUACAAAGAAGCAUGUUUCUCUUUUUUGAGUGAAAGACUUUGCAGUACAGAACGUUGACAUAGAACGAGUUUUGCUUUCUAGUGGGUAUUCAAAAACCAUGAUAACAGUGAGAACCAAGCAACAUGUAGCUCCAAUCUGGUAGUCUGUGGCUGAAAAAAAAAAUCACAGGUUAUUGCACUGCAUGAUGCCUGUGGAACACAGAGAGUAAUAAUAAUAGAAUCAGAGAAUUGGAGAAUUGGAAGGGAACAAAAAUGUCAUCUAAUUCAGCCCCCUGCAAUGCAGGAAUCAUGUAUAGUAACAUUUUUUAAAUGGCAUUAAGAAAUAAAAGUUAUCAAAUGACAAUAAUGUGGCGAAAUCGAGAAAUUCCUAGGUAGUAUAAUAAACCCUAGUGUUCUUACCACAGGGAUGUGUAGCCUUUGCUACGUCCUAGGAACAAAGCCUCAACCAAUCCAAUUGUGAAGUUAAGUUUUAUAUUUGCAAGAAUAUUUGCAGUAUCUAUGCUUCAACUUCUUUAUCAUCAACUUUGUACAGCAAUGGUUUUGAAUGAGUGUAAUAAAUAAUGUACUGUCGCUGACUUUGGGUUGUUACCACAGACAGUUUACUUGGCUUUUUCAGCAUUUGGAAAUGGUAUUUCUCACCUCCUCCACACAAGUCUUUUCACCCUCCUGCCAAGAUUUUGAAAGGGAAAAAUAACUUCAUUUUGGUUUGAGGUGUUUCAGAAGUUAUUUGAGGAGAAGCAUAGCUGGCUACUUGCAGGAACAUUAGAAGUCAGCUAUGUAGUUCAUUUCUAAACACAUUUUGGGAUGAAUUUGUACAAACCCUGGGAAAGAGAUGCUAUCAAAAAUGGACACAUUUUGAACUGUGUCCCCCCCCCCCCCGAUUUUAACAAUAACAGCAGCAUUCCCAGGUGUCUAUGCAGCAUAUUAAAUAAAUAUUUAGUGGAUGGAAAAGAAACAAACAUAUCAAGCAGACAGAUGGAUUAUGAAUCUAUAUGUUUAAUGGUUUGAUUUCUUUUAACAUUUAGUUUAGAAAUCGAAGUUGCCAUUCAUGUAUUUCUAACACAGAUACAGAAUUACAGUGAAUAGUCGAUGUGCUUCAUUGUUACUAGGGUGAAAUUUAGCAAUUCUCUAUUAGCUUUUAGAUGAUAGCUUGACAGGCAAAGACUUGAUGCUUUCAUAUUAUAGCUCUUUAGUCUGGAAUUGUCAUCUAUUAUUCACUCUUUUUAAAUGAAGAAUCCAGAUGACACUAUUCUAGUGUUUUUUUGAAAAAAAUAUUCAGGCUAGUUUUUUAAAUAAUUGUUCACUUGCAAUGCAAUAGCAACACCAGGCUGCCCAGUGUGGAUUGUAAAAGUACUAUUUAAAGCUUUCAGGGCUACUGUACCAUUAAUUAGUAGCUUCCUCCUUGUGGCAUAUGUUUCAAACUGCUCCUGUUCAGCUAGAGAAAAUAAGUGAAAUGCUCCCAGUUUGAGUAAAACAGUACAGAGGCGGUGUUUCUCCAGUUUAGUAAAGUGAAUUGCAGUGCACCACUGGUACACACAGGACUAUAGGAAAUGUCUGCAAUUAGAAAUUAGGAAAUGGACGUAACAGUCUCUCCCUGUCUGAACUUUAAAGCUAGCAGUGCUGGAUUAGGAUUUCUGCCGUGGUAGCAGUGAAGGAGGAAGUUGCUUCAGUUACUUGAAGAGAUUUAUUUUUCUGUUUGUGUGGGACACCAUCCCAUUACGUUUUAUGGUCUGAAAGUGGCACCAUUUGUUGGGCUGCAAUUUGGUGCACAAAAAAAGCACAUCUUUAUGUGCCUACACAGUCUGAAACAAUAAUGGGGUACAGAAAACAUUUUUUAAAUAUAUAUUGCUUAAAAAUCCAUCUUAUCUAACAACAGCUGGGAAACUAAAGAGUGGACUGUGGGGUCCUUGGUGGACAGAAAAAGAACUCAUGCACCUGAGGUAUGCAGUAAAAAUAAUGUUUUUUAUAUAUAUACUUGUAUGCCAGUUCUCAUUUACUUUACCUUUAAGAGCCACCCCCCACCAUUUUUGCAAAGCUGAGCAGGCAACUCUAAUGAACAGCAGCAAUAAGUAGCCUGUGGCAGUAAAAUAAGGCAGACUUCACCCCAUGCCCUUCUCUUUUCUCGAGAUGAGGAAGUCACUUGUUUGCCUCUGGUGCGUUCCAUCCCUUCCCUGGGCUGAAAUAUAUUUGGGUCUGCUGGUGAGCCUGGUAAUAACUGUGGUGGCUGCUGAAUGGGGUGGGGUGGGGGGAGCAGGGAAGCAAAGGGAGUAAAAUAAGUGUCAAGGAAUUCAUUGUCUGUCCUCCACCUGUUGUUAUUCUGGUCCCAAUCAACCUGCUAGCCAGGCUGGAGCCAGUGGCCAUCUGGAAACACUGCUCUGUUUAUAAACUUGGCAUGAAGCAGCACUCCCGGGCCCUGACCUCCCACACAAAUCUGGAAACAAUUAGAGCAAGAUGAUAGGCAGGCAAGGAGAGUGAGAGCGAGAGCGAGAGCAGGACGGAGAGGAGACUGCAGGGGAGAGAAGAACAGAGAGUUCCUUUGCUCUUCGACUAAGAGGGGAUUGUGGAUGUUUCUGAUCGAAAAAUAUAUUCCUAUCGUUCCUGCCCAAAGGUUACCCCAUGAUUUAAGGAUAAUGAUGGCUCUUCUGCUGCUUUAAUCUGGCUUUUCCAAAUUGCCUCUUCUAUUUAUUAAGUUUCAAAAUUUUCACCCGUACAACGAAGGAACGGAGAGAAGUAAGUUCAAACCGCAACCGCAACUCAAGGCAAUCUUUCUGAAAACCAGAUCAUAUGAUACAGUUCCUACUCAUUUUUACUAGCAGUAAAAUCUGCCACCCAGAGAGCUCAUAUUUGUGCGCUUUCCAUGGGGGGGGGGGGAUGGCUUCCUCAUCCUGCCUUCUAAUAAAAUAUGGGACACUUUGGGGGGUUCUCUUCAUCACCAAGCCCUCCUGGCAGUGAUUCCCUUGAAAACAUUUGUUGUGUUUGCUCCAAUAAAGCCAGGCCUUCAUGCAUGCACCCAGUUCAGGUUCUGCCUAAUGAAGAAUUAGCCAGGCAGGUAGCUUGCCAAACAUGAAUCUGAUUAAGUGGAGACUCAGAGAGAAGGAAGCUUUAAAAAGAACAAAUCAGGCACUUCCCUUUCUAGAAUAAAUUGUACAAGCAACUUUGUUCUUCCUAAGUCUGAGUAAUUUUACCAUGGCAAGUACAGAUGCCAGCAUGUUGCUUCAUUUCUCACAGUUUGUCCAUUUAGUGGAAAAAAAGGCUGCCAGAUGAGACGAUCUUACAGUAACUCCUGUAUGAGUAAAGGGAAGUUAAGCAGAGCUCUUGCUUCUCUAUCAGAACUUAAGGCAUCUUUCUCAAGAAAGAUGUUGUAGGGCUACAACUCCCACCAUCCUUAGCUAGCAGGACCAGUUGUUUGGGAUGAUGGGAGUUGUAGCCCAACAACAUUUGAAGGCCCAAGGUUGAGAAAGGCUGACUUAAGAGUUCUUUUUCUGCUAUAGUGUCUGGGGGGGCUAUACCACUUGCUUUUUCUGAAUUUGAAGUUUUGCCCUCAGUUGCAAACAAGUAGUUUGUAGAAACUGUUGCUUGGAUUCACACUGAUAUGAAAUGUAGUAAACAGGUUGUUGUUAUAUGUAGUUUUGUCUUAAUGUGGGGUUAACCGUUAAAUCAGUUUUGCUACUGGUAGUUGACAUGGAAAUUGUGAUAAUAUGCACAGUAUCACAUUGCUUAAAUAAAACUUGUUAUUUAUAAAGUAUGAGUACGAAAUAGGGUGGACUCCCAAAAGCAUUUUGCUAUGCACUGAAAUGCAUUUUGCUGUUUAGAAAAUAUGCUAGGUUGCAACUCUUCUGUUUCUAUCACAUCGUAUGGGUAUUAUUCUUAUGGAAUUCCUAUCUGAUAUUUGAAAUGGUGUUGCUGUGUUGGUCCAAGAGAACACAACAGGCAAACUAAGUGAGGCUUGUCUUAUUGACUGAACCCUUUGGGAGAGAAAGUGUGGAUUUCAAAAACAUGUGCUCCCUGCGCCCUUCAAUACGAAGGGGCUUGAAAGGAGUGCAAAUGGGAGAAGAGUUUAAUUUGGCCUUCUUUGAAGUAGCUUUAUGACUAAACGUUUCUGUGGGAAUGCAAGUUACACAGAACCUUGGCACUGGGGUGGAUUUUGCCCAUAAGAAAGAGGAUAUGAGGGAGCUUGAUAACUGAGAACUGGAUCCUGUGAAGUGCUGAGCACAAUAUUUCAAUCGUGAAAGCCCAUAAUUUUAAGGAAUGUGUGUAGUGCUCAGUGGGACGACUUCCAAGGUGCCAGUUAAUCAUGUGCUCUGUUGGCGCAGAUUCCUUUACAGAAUAAAGUUUCAACUGCAGGGACCUCUGUUGUGGGCAAAUAAAAAAAUAGAAGGCUCCAUUGCUGUUGAUCUGCUAUCUCUACCAAUAGUUUGAUAUCUAUAGAGUUUACCUCCAUUAGUAGAAAUAUGUUUCGUCAGUUACUCACUGGUUUUGUUUUUUGCCUGAAAAAGUAUCAUGUCAGGGUUGUUUGCUGGUGCUAUUUGAAAAUCUCACCAUGGCAGCCAACUCGGGACUGCCUGCAUUCCCUCCUUCUUCCUCUUCCUCCUCCUCCUCCUCUCUUCCUCCUCUUACAGAGCCUCUGCAAUUUAAAAGAACAUAGAACGGAGUGUAGUGCAAAAACAGAGAGGGCUUCUUUAAUGCGUGAAAUGGCAAAGAGGCAAAAAGCAGUUCAUCCACAAGGCUAAAGCAAACAUCUUCUUCAUGAAGCUCUGGUUGUUUGGUAGCUGCAAUUUUGAAAUGAUAUGAGUAGUAACAUUUGUUAAAAAAUGUUCAGUCUGGGAAAUUAGUUCUGAAACUCUUAUGCAGCAUUGUUGAAAUUGGAUCAAAUUGAACUGUAAUAUAUAAAAUAUUGUGCUUACUUAACCCCUGUAAACUGAAUUCAUUUGUCUUUGUGAACUUGCUGGGCUAUUAAGGAUGCACAUUCCUUCCACAGUUAAUAACAUUUAAUAUUUUUCUCUGAAUUCAUAAAUUUAAUUAGACUUGGUUAAUCAAUCUCAUAUUUUUAAAAAAGUUGAAAGACUUUUGAGAAACCUUUUGAUUUAAGAACAAGCAAGUAUCAAGUUCAUGCAUUUCAGCUGGUUAAUAGCGUGCUUACAUUAUCUUCUAUUGCAUAAUAUAGGCCUGAAUUGACUGGCUUCUGAUUAUACUGAAAAGAGUUUCCAAAGCAAGCCAUUUUCAUGACUGAUAAUAAGGCAGCCCAAACCACUCCCUUGGUAAUCUCUCACAGCGUCACGGCUGUAAACUAUAUGGGGACAAGGAAUCCCGUUCUCUCCUACCUACCAAGCAAAAGACAUGCCACUUUGUGGUAAAAGUAAACAAGAAGAAACUACUUUUAGGUGUAAAAUAUGUUGGGAGGAAUGUCCAAGCCUUUGACCUUCUAGCUCUAAGGGUUAGGGAAGCAAUUCCAGCCUGAGGGACACAUUUCCUCAUGGACAACCUUCCAGAGGCCAGUGGCGGGUGGGGACAGAAGCAAAAAGUGGGUGGGACAACAAUUGUACCUUUGUACACUGAGCUGCAUUCCAGCCACACAGAAGUCAGAGGUUUCCAACCCACCUCCUCCCGAUGCUUCAUCUAGGCAAGCAAGAGGCAUUACCAUACUUAGGGACACAUUUCAGCCUGGCAAAAACAUUCAAGGAGGGCAUUCAAGAAGAAUUGGACCCAUUCCUUCCUGGCCACUGCCACAUUUCUCCCCCCAUAUUAAUCUCUUACUCUUUGGGAUGCUGGAUGGAACGAUCUGUCAAUUUCAGUUUUCUCAGUUUAUUUUUCCAAUCUUAAACCCAAUUUCCCACAUUUCUGUAGCAAUUUUGUGUGGGGUUUUUUUAAAAUCUUAAUUUGAAUUUCUGCAUUUUUGUGUGCAGUUUUGACUAAGGUACACAUUUUUGCAAAUAAUUUCUCCCAAUAUAGUGGAUUUUUGUAUGUUAUUUUCAAACAUACCUUCAUUUUUAUGCAUAUGUUCCCCUAAUAUAUGCAUUUUUCUAAACAUUGUUUGCUUGGAGAACUGCAUUACAAAAUUUGGUACUCUGAUGGGGGGACAGAAAAGGGGUAAUGUCAGUUGCAGCCUUUUAGUUUAUUGUGGAGGCACAGUAAGAAAUUAUUAUGAUUCUAUAUUGUGAGUUACAAUUACCCCUAGAUAACAGGAUUUCCCAUUUACAGAAUGUGACACUGGCUGAAAAUUCGGAAACUACCCAUCUACAGGGGACCACUGAGCCUAGGGCUUGCCGAUCAGAAGGUCGGCGGUUUGAAUCCCUGUGAUGGGGUGAGCUCCCAUUGCUCAGUCCCUGCUCCUGCCAACCUAGCAGUUCAAAAGCACAUCAAGUGCAAGUAGAUAAAUAGGUGCCACUCCGGUGGGAAGGUAAACAGCAUUUCUGUGCACAGCUCUGGUUCACCAGAAGCGGCUUAGUCAUGCUGGCCACAUGAACCAGAAAAACUGUCCGUGGACAAAUGCCAGCUCCCUCAGCCAGUAAAGUGAGAUGAGCGCCGCAACCCCAGAGUCGUCCGUGACUGGACCUAAUGGUCAGGGGUCCCUUUAUCUUUACCUUUACCCAUCUACAAUAAACUAAAAUAAGUUUUCAAAAGAGGAAAGCAGCACAAUAUGAAGACAAAAUGCCAUGCUUUGGUUUUUUUAAAAAAUUCCCUAACAAUGCUCUUGUUGUUAAAAGGCUUAAUAUGUACAGAUUAGGGCUGGAUCUAGACACUUCAAAGAAGCGUUUCAGUUGAAAGCGCUGUAAAUUUAAACAGGGAAAACAGGUAGAGAAAGACGGGACUCCACAUCGCCAUUUGGUGGCACAAAGUUAUAUCGCACAUGCAAUGCAUAUAAAUCGCUGUUUCUUUACCAGUCUAGCUGAGCCCUAGUUUGCAAUAAUUAUUCUUAGCAGUUCUUUCCUUCCAUUUUCCAGCAAUGUAAUAUGAGGCCAAGGCCAAGAGUUUAUGUCAGGAUCUGUCCAAAGCACUCCUUGAACGGGCCUGUUAGUUGAUAUUUUUGAAGUGGCAGAAAGGAAGCACCAGGGCAGUGUCCUUCCUGGCUCUGCCGGGCUUCCUGUACGCUUCCCUGAUGGAAUGUUAGUCAGAGGCCUUGUUACAAUUCAGACUCAGUCUCUCAUGCCACCACCCGGCUCCUGGUUUGAUUUUCUGAGCCUGUGUUCUCCGCCGGCACACUGUCUCUACCCUCUGACUAACACAUGAGUGUACAGGUGGCAGAGGAAAGGGUGAACAGUGAUGGAAAUUACCAGUGAUUCAGAUUUGGAGAAUGACAUGGUUAUUUCCAGCUGGAAAUACACCUGCUUAAUAAUGCUGCAGCAGACAUAGUUGUGUAACAUGGCCAGAUUACAGUCUGCAAGGUUUCUUCAAUAUAUACCCGCCGUGGUUAAAAAUCCAGAGGCAACUGCCUUUGCUGGCUUGUUGCCAGAAACAUGUAUCAUAUCCUUCAUGAAGUCUUCCCAAACUUUGAAAUUCCCGUUCCCUUUUGGCAAGGCUUGCCUGUUGUUGGUGUUCCUUUAAUCACUGUUUUGUGGAAGGAAUAAAGCUGAACCAAUCGGGUUUCCCUGUGUGUGCAUUUCUAUAAUAUUCACCAAUGAAUGGGGCUAUUUUUUACCCAGAUAAUUUCCAAGAUAUGGCAAGGAGGGUUGCUAGGCAAAGAAGCCUACAGCAUAUGCAGGGGAGGGGGGAUUCAAAAUCUGAGAGAGAGAAAAUUGAAUGAAGGUAGCAAUAGGCAUGUAUAAAAUUAGAAAGUUAUUAAGGCUGCAGUGUAUACAGCCUUACUUGGGAGUCAGACUAAUUGGAUUCGGUAAGAUUUGCUUCUGAGUAAAAAUGUAUAGGAUUCCAAAAUCCACAGCUGGGCUGAAACGAACAAAAAUGUCACAGUUUAGGGCUGUGCUGUUAGUACAUAAAAUUUCUACAUUUUUAAUAUUAGAUAUUUUUGUGCAUGUAGACUGAUAAUUCAGUCCAGAUAGGGCACUGAUAAGUCUCCUGUGUUGAAAGAACUAUCUUAAUUAAGUUGGAUACUUAAUCCUUGUACGUCAGCACCCAACAGCACGGAGGCCUCUUUCUCUGCUUCAAAAGGGCAAGAGGGGGAAAUCAUGUGAAUCCUGCUUCUGUGCUAUUGGGCUCUUAUUCAGAGGGCGCAGUUUGCACGAGAGAUCACCUGAACAGUGGAAUGGAGAGGAUUAGGCCAGUCCUUCAUCACGCUGACGUAGACCAACUAUAUGAAGUGUGGGUCAUACGAAUCUCCUAACUACUGGGGCGGGGAUUUGCUAUAAUGUAUAACAGAGAAUUAUACUGGAGCUAGAAUGCAGUCAGAAUAACUGUGACGGUGAUGGCAACAACAAUAACAGGUGAUAAACUGGCAAGGCUGAGUUAACUGAUAUCUGCAGGCGAAAAGGAAGCCAUUGUCUUUAUACAGGUCCAAAUGGAUACAUUUGAACUUCCAGAUGAAGUUCCAUUUUUCAGCUUCAUGCUCACCCUCAGAUUGGCAGAGUGUCCCAGAAGAUGGAAAAUUAUCUUACUAGUUUAUGAAUAUUGCCCUUUCUGAUGUCAGAUUUGUGUCCAUUGUUUCUUUUGUAUAGAGACCGGGUGUUGCUGGCAUAUUGUUUUGUAUUUAUAUGGUACAUUUUCAAAGUGGUCAUACCCACUUUGUACAUGUUUAUCUCAGUUCUGCAAGGUCAUCCAGUAUUACCUUCAUGUCAUAGAUGGGAGGCUAAGAAAAAGUGGCAUGCUCCAGGUCAUGGGUAAAUUCCUAGCGGAGGCAAGAUUUCAAGUGAGGAUUUCCUGGUUUAAAGCUUAUUCCCUUAUCUACCAUGCCAGACUAGCUCUCUUUUCUUUACUAGAGUUGCAUUAAGUAAUACAGAUUUUACAAUCGGGUUCCCAACUUUUUAUUCCAAAACUGAUGACCCAUGGAAUGAGUCAGGGUUGCAGACUCUGUUAGGCCAGGAGUUGAAGAUAACAGCAAAUAUUUUCUGCUAAACUCCUGGAGAUUAUGCUGGCUGGCAUGGUGGGCUGAGCUUUGGUCCUAACAAGGAAGUACACUAGGAACAAUCCCAUAGCUGCUGCCGCUAUGUUUGGCUGACAGCACCUCUUGUCCUUCACUUCAUGGGCUACCAGAAGUUAGCACUUGUAGAAAAUGGGUUGAAGCAGGCUAAAAAAAACCUCUGCAAAUGAUGGCAGUUACAUACAGCCUUUCCUUCCUGCAGAACAGAAGUUUGGACCUUGUAUAUUUCUAAUAUAUUAUAUACCCUGGGAGACAGCAACAAAUUGGCAUUUCUCAAAGCAGGGCUACCCUGGCUUCUAUUAAUAGUUUAUGUUCCAUUUUAUUCAGCACAGACACAACUUGUAUGAUAGUCAAUGUUUUAAAAAGCUUAUUCAAUUUCAUUGCUGGAGUGUGUUUCUAUAAUCAAGUCACGUGUACCCUAGCAUUACAGGGACAACUUCUGCCUGCCGUACCCAGUUUUGUGUUCUUGGAAUUUCUUUCAGGAAUGGGUCUAUGCAAUUGUUUCAGCUUUCAUUACACCAAUAAAGCAUUUUAAUGACUUUUGAAUAUCCACCAAAAUUGGUUGGGGUUUAAAAGAAAGUAGAGUCUUGACUCUGAAAAGUAUUUGGAAGGAGAGAAGUGGAAUGUGUAUAGAGUUUGUUCCAUUUCCCUUUCAAAUUCCAAUUGCUCACGAAGCACUUGUUCAGUGUCUGGUUAACAACCACCAGAAUAAUAGAAUCAUUUUUUGGUUGCUGGCAUCCAUCUGUCUCGAGAGACAAUGGAGUGCUCUUCCGGGGCGAAGUCAAACCACUGGAGAAUCAUAGCACCUACUUAGAAAAUUUCAGCUGCAAUUAACACAUAAGAGGUUAGCAACUGUGGUAGAAUUUGAUUUUUUAUUUAUUUUAAAGAAUCAUUUCUCAGUUUUUGUUGUCCUGCCUGUGCCUCCUUCUAGUAGCUCAGCCUCAGAGUAGAAUAUAUUUCCCAGAGUUAAUGUUCUAUCACACAUGCCUUAAGAGUCCCCUGUGUAUUACCAGCCUCUGUGCCAAUAUAUUACUGAUUGUCUGCUUGAGAAAAAACUAAAAGCACAAAUGUCAGGCUGGCAUAUGAGAAAAAUAAAUCAUGAAGAAUUUCUGGUGGGCUUUUCUUUUUUCUUUUUUGCAUGAAUGUUGCAUUCCUGGUUCAGGAGACAGAGCAUGUUUCCUGACCACUAAAGCACCUUUUCCGCUUCAUGUAAGUCAACACUUCAGCUGUGUGUGCAAUGCCAAAAAGGCAGAAAUCAGCCCCUCAGGAAAGAAAAAAAAAAUCAGUUUUAGUACUUCACAGGGACUCUGGAGUAUAGAUAACCUAUGCAUCAUCAAGUUACAUAGGAUUUUGUUUUCAGUGCUACCCAACUUAUUGCCUUGGGCACUUAAUAUAUUUUUUUAUUAUUUCCCAUGGCAGCCCCUGCAUUGGCAUUCCAUGUUAUAGAGCAGAUGUGGGGAGUCUGUUGCCCUUCGGGUGUCUUUGGACACUCCCAUCAGCCCCAGACAGCAUGCCUAGUGGUCAGGGAUGGUGGGAAUUGAUGAUCUGGAGGGCUGCAGGUUCCCUGUUCCUUUUUGGAAAACACCCCACAAGUUAAAAUUGUGUCCCAAGAGAAGGACUAGAAGGGAUGAAUUUCAAAUUUAUGAAGCCACAAGUUACCUAUAUUCUGGUUAUGAACAUGGAAUAUAUUAGUGUCUGAAGAAGAACUUGCUCUUUCAUAACCCAACUUCUCCUUGGCUUGAACUUAUAUUGAAGUCAUGUAGUAUUUAUGACACAGAAGAUGUUUCCAGGAAAAAAAAAUGUUAUCACAAAUCCACUGGGGUCAGGGGAAAGUACUUUAACUAAAAUAGAAACCACAGUGAACUUCUGCCUAAAUAGUAAGCUCUUUUGAAAGCAAAUGCGCCAUCUUAAAUUCAAUAUACAUAUACCUCCUUUCUCGUGAUGGUGGUCUUCUUUAACUAUCCUGUUCAAAAUCCCCCCAGUCACUUGUUUUGCUUCCAAAACAAUUCAGUUUCUAAGAUUGAAACCUUUAGGGAUUAAGAGAUGCCUUAGACAAGAGAAGGUCUGAAAGCAGUUUGAGUAGUUUGAUAUUAAUGACAAAGAAUGCAAAUAAUUAACAACGCUAAUGAAAUUGAAAUCAGGGACACACUGGGGAGUUUAAGGGUGGUGACUUCUCUGAGAAUGGAAGUUUCUCUGUGAGCUUUGCGCACACCCUACAGUGUAGCCGUGUGGGAAAGGUUACACUGAACUUGCCCUUUCAUAAGAAUCACUUUAGAGCAAAUAGCAGUUCCAACAUGAGAAACAAUUCUGUGGCACAAGAAGCUGAAGUCUGAUUCAAGGGCUCAUUAAAUCUGUUCUUUGCAUUUCUUUCUCCAUAUAUUAUGGCUUUGAUAAUAUUUAUGGUUUUGAAAACUUUAUUGGCUGUGGUGUUCACUUUAAUCAAACUAUCACACGCAUCAUGAAGCAAUGGCUCUGCUUUGUAUCCUACACCAAGGCUUUUGUAGCACAAUCUACCCUGGUCCUCAGAAAUUGCACUUGCUCUUUAAUCACCCUUUCGCCUUCCCCUGGUAUUAAUUGCAGGCCAAAUGUGAAGAAGCAGAUCUGUUCCCUAUUAAAAAAAAGUCUGUGCAUCAUUACAUCGAUCUCUUGUCUGAAAAUGCUGUGACCUGAAAAUGUGGACAGGCUAAUCAGCGCUUCAGAAUGGUUGGCACUUAUUGAUAAAGAACCAGGUUGUGCCCUUAAAUGUUUUUCACCUUUCUGAGGGGGACACUGAAUGCAUCUUAUGAAUGCAUUUGUGCUUUCCCAUGUACCACAACAUCAGGGCAAGCACUUUGCCUGCUUCCAUUGAAGAGAAGGGUGGCAGCCAUGGCUUUGCCUAUUCAUGUGUCAAGAGUCUGAUCAGUGAUCUCUUCCAUAGCCUAUUCAAGGAUAGGUUGGCUGAGUUUGUCCAGACUGUGUGAUGAGACUGUUUUGAAAGACUGCGUUAUUCAAGACUGAUGCUCUGCCUCUCCACUGCUGUAGGAACUUAGCAUGACAUCCCAACAGCUCUACAAGUGAGGCAGUGUGAGACUAGUUGAGUGCCAGUUCUGGGGUCAAGCAGGGAUCAUUUUUUCCCUUGAUCCAUAGUGAACGGAAGAUAAUAGUCUUCUGCCUACUGCCUCUGCAGCUUCUACAGGUUCUAGAACCAGAUGGUUGACUGGACUUAGGUAGAGGUAAGGCUUUGGGAUAUUUGGCAGAGUUGCAAGUAUAAAUAGUUGCCAAUACAGGUUUGGGUUAGGGCACACUUUAAAAGGCUACAAGGACGAGCAGCUCAAGACAUUGUGCUGGUGAGGGAACUUUCUCAUCACCUCCAAAGAGCUUGUGGGAAGAUGGGCUGGUAAUUCCUCAUGAGGUCACUGUCACAGCGGCUCACAGCAUUCCAGCUUAUGGAUAAUGAUAUUUGCUGGUCUCCCUCAGAAUACCUUCAAUGUAUGUAAACUGGGAAAAGUGGAGAUAUCAAGUCUGGAUGAGGGUUACCUAGAGAGGUUAUUGGAAAAGGCCAACACAUACUUUCCUCCUUGAAUUAAGAAGGUGUAGUUGCUAAUCCUGAAAGGCUGAAGGUUGCAGGCAAAUACGUAGGAACUGUUAGGCAUGUUGAAUAUCCUUUGUAUGCAAUAAAGUUUACUUUAUUCCACCCACUCUUCAUAUCGGGACAGUGGUUGGAAUUCCUUUUGACCAAAAUGAGCACUGGAUGCUAUAACAAGGUGGGUGAUUUGCCCACAAGCCUCUGUUUCACUAUGGUAGACCAAGCAGCUAUGCCAAGAACCUGACUCAUACUUUCCAAAACUGAUGAAAAGGAAAGAUAACAUAAAUGUAACUGAGACAAUAUUAACACCACUAUUUCUUUAGUAAACACCUUAUGAAAGAUUCAAAAAGGAGAAACAUCCUUUGAGGUUUAUGAAUGAAAUGUGGUCAUGGGAUCUCAUUAAGCAGGAAACUGUGGCACAAUUUCUUUAUUUUUUUAAAAAAAUACUGCCAUUUUGGAAAUUUUCUUUAUAAGUUUCAGUUACUUACAUAUUGUUUGAAUGGAGAUCAAUAGUAUUUUCCCAUCUCCCUGAAGCCUACUGUCAUUCAUUUUCUUUUUAGAGUACAGACGGCAACGAGUUUAGGUGUGUCCAAUUGGUGCAUGACCACUGACAUGUGGGUCCUUUUGAACCUGGAAGAGGGAAGAAUGGGGUGGGAUGGGGUGUAACUGGGCAGGGCAAGCUUAUGCCUACUCCGCCAACACGUGCUUUGACCCAGAACGCAACCCCCAUGGAAACAGGGAGUUGCCUGUACUGCACGUUACCCUGGUCAGUGGUUCUUAUUCUUUGAUUCCAUCUUGAUGAUCAGACUUUUCAUGCUGUGCACAGGUGAUCAACAUCUAUAGGUGGCCAAACUGUUCCACUAUUCCUAGUAAUUUGUUAUGAUGAGUGCUGGCUCAGAGUAUUUACUGAGACUUCAUGUGCUAGUUCAGAAACUGCUAGCCAUAUUUGUGUGAGCUAUUUAUGUCUCCUAGAAUAAAUUGACCUGAACUGUUUUUUACAGUUAGUUGAAUAGCAAUUACUAUGGGUGACUUUAUAUGUCUAGUCUCCUAUGGCUGCAGUUCAAAGGUACUUACCUGGGAGUAGUUCCCACUGAGCACAAUGGGAUUUAGUUCUAAGUAGGAAUGUAUUGGAUUGUACUGUUAAAGGCUCAUAAGACCUUUCCUUAUUUGUCUUCUCAAUAUUUUUUGAUUAAUUUGCUUUCAAAACUUUCUGUUCUCUUAUCUCUUCUGAAGUUAGCAUGCCCCCAGAGGGUCUGCUUUUGGAUUUGAAUUGAGGAGACCAGAUUUGAAAUGUCAGUUGACUUUUGAAUUAAAUGAACGAUCACAGGCAAGUCACACCCCAUCCCAAUUGUGGAACAUGAUUCCUCUGAUCUUUCUUAGUGAUGCUACAUAUAUUGUCACAGUGGGAAUAGAAAUAAUAUCUUUCCUAACAAGAGUGUUCUGAGAUAAAAGUUGCAAAGAACAUUGUCUGCUAAAAUGACUAUAUGGAAAAUAAUUAAUAACAUUCUUGUGGAUUGCUUUGAGGCUGAUAUUGUGCCUUAGGUUCUUUUUCUAGGGAUUUCAAUUCCCUAUUAAUUAUUUUCUUUGUCACUUUGAUUUUCUGACCCCAUAGCACUUUAGCAUUGUAAAUUUUAUCUCUGUUUCUUAAGCUACAGUGUUCUUUUUUCACUUCACAUAUAACACCCCUACCUCUUAUUACAGAAACUGUAUACUGGGAUGGGGAACCUGUGGCCCUCCAGAUGUUUGAGUCCCAUCAUUUCCAUUGGUCUAAACACAACUAGAGGGCCACAUGUUACUCACCCCUGCUCUUUAUGUUAGUCGUAAAGAAGAUCUUGGCCAGUUAAUGGCUGGCUAUUUGGUUCUGAGAAAUGCAUCAUUUUUUAAAAAUAAAAUCUCAUCCCUUACCCCAAAUGCUUGAAGUUGUGAAAAAGAGAGAGAAGGAUGUUGGUUUAGGUUUAAAUUAAACCAGGUUCAAUUAUGCCUGUUGAAAAGUAGUGGGACGGUUUUAAUUCUACCUAAAAAGAAGUAUGGUAGAGUCCCACUCAACUAUUAGCACAGGUGUAGUGAAACAAGGUGGAAGUACUGAUGGUAGGAGGGAGGGUUCAACUGGGAAGAAGUAUUCAAUAUGUUCUGUGGGCAGGGGUAGACUUUGGUCUUUCAAAUUUCAGCAGUGCCUUGUAGAAGGCCAAAAUUAAGUGCCCCUUGCCUCUUUCCCUCUGUUGUACUCAAUUCGCUAUGUCAUGGUUGCAACACACCCUAGACUUGGCACCCAGUGUGGCAGAACCAGUUGUGUUGCCCCAAAUCCACCUCUGUUGUGGGCACAGGUUUAGUUUGGGGUGGUCCUGAACCCCAUCCAGUGUUGCCUUUGGCAGAUUGGAGAAGGUUAUAACCAGAAGUGCUUUUGCCCAGCUUUACCUGGUCCACUAGCUAUGGCCUUUCCUGAGGAAGGCUGAUUUUGUGAUAGUUACACAUGCCCUGGUCACAGAUGGACUACUGUAAUGCACUUUACAUGAGGCUGCCCUUGAAAUGUUCAGUUGGUUCAAAACGCAGCAUCAAGGUUUGCUGAUCUGAGCUUGUUUCUUUGACCAUAUUUUACCAUUACAAUAGCGGUUGGAACAGUUCUUAGGCUGUGUCUAAUUGAAGGUGCUGGUUCUUUGUUUUAAAGUCCCAAGCAGUUAGGGCCCUCACCUUCUACGUGACCUGCAUGCAUACUGUGGACAUCAGGAGUUAUAUGCUCCUCUAACUUGUGAGGCAAAGAGACCAUGAACAUGAGGUUGAGUCUUCUUGUCUGUGGAAGCCAGGUUAUGGAAUGUACUCCCCCAGCAGAUCUGGAUCUCUUAUUUUAUUAAACAUGUUGUGGGAAAUCACAGUUUUGAAUAUGUUAAAACUGUCCUGCAAGUAAAAAAGCGGCACAGGAGGGAAAGGAUUGGGUUACCACAAAUUCCCCUGAUAUGCUGGUUAGCUAUUUACAGCUAGCCAUUUUCUUUUUCAUGGGGAGCUAUACAAAAGUGAUACACCUGCAGUCUGGAAUGGCACAGUUCAUUCAAUUAACUCAUUUCCUUCUUAGUUUGCUGCAUGUGUAGAUCAAGCUUCAGUUAAGAGUGACAAACAUCUUGUGUUCCAUAGUGAACCUGAUGGCAGGUCUGAAGACUUUUCUAGUUAGGAAUGUUGUCCGACUCUACUGUUUUCCUAUACUUGAACCAAUGGUAUAUAAUUCUAGUCUCACUGAUCACCAGGGUAAACAAAAGCUAACAGAAUAAAUACCCUGCUAGCGCCACAGGCAUGGAUAUGGACUAUUGUAAAAAGAUAGCCUUUGCAAUCUGUGCUGACAAGUGACAAUGCACAUGUAGAUCAGAUGGAUAAGGAGCACACAAUUCUUGUUUUCUGGCAGUACGGAACAAAGACAGCCCUCCUGGCUGGCUUGUCAAGAGUUACAGCAUUCCACACACUGGUUGACUAAUCGUUGUCAGGUUUUCAAAUCAGUGUCAGGAUUUGAUGCUAAAAGGGAAAAAAGCAUCUCAUUUCAAGAAGCUGUCAUUGUGUUUCAUGGGAUUCAGACUCGGAGACAUUUUAUUUCUUAUGCUUACUUGAUUACCACCAAUUUGCUGAGGUUUUCUCAGCAUGUCUUUGAAACCACUUAAGUAUUUAUGUGUCAAGAAGGAUGAUAAAUGAUCCAGGUUAUAGAGUACUGGUGUUCUGGAUCUCAUCCUUCCUUCAGCUGAACCUGAUGCUUGGGGAAAAACAUGGCAUAGUAAUAAUAUAUAGAAGUACAAGUUCCACAGUUGCUGGUGAUAAUGGAAAAAGCUUUAGCCAUGUGUUGGGUUUCCAUAGCUGGAAAAAGAAACACUGUUAGAAUUCACAAGAUGAAUCACAAGAAUGGCUUAGCAACAUCCGGAAGAAAAAGAUAUUCUUUAUUUGGAUUUAUUGAAUAUGUAAAAAUUGAUUCCAGAGACAUUUAGAUGAUAAAAUACAAGUCUGAGUAGAUCUAAGAUGGAAGUAGACAUAAGAUGUAAAAGUAUGACACACAUCAUUUUUACAUGACAUGGAACUGAUGUUCUAAAUCUUGUAACCCUACCUCUGUUAGUCUACAAUAAUGCUUGCAAGAUGGCUUUUCAUAGUGAGAACAUUAUAGAGUUUUGCAGCACCUUGAAGACCAAAAUAUCUAUUAUGACAUAAGCUACUUCAUCCACUGCAGCAUUCUGACUAGGGAGGUUAAAAUUCAAAUGGAACUUGGUAGUUCAAUAAAGAGGCAUUUUUUAAAAUAACACUCUUUGAAUAAUUGUAAAGAAUCAAGUGGUAAAAUCAUGUUUUGCUGAUCUCUGAAGAUGCUGUUGAAGUUAAUUUUGAGAUUAGAUAUCAGUAAUCCCCCCCCCAAAAAAGCCAAAUGUGACUAAUUGGGAAAUAAUACAUUUCUCAGAGCUCCCUGUGCAUGCUGCUGUAAGAACACAUUUCAGGGAAAAUGAGAGAGUGGGAGAUGGAGGGAAGAUGAGAAACCUUCUUUCCAGCCAUCCUCACUACUGCUUGUUUGUAUCCAAAGUUGAAAUUUAUGAGUGUCAGCACCAUCUCUAAAUAUUUAAUAAGCCCCUAAGAACUUCAGAACUUCAGCUAGCAUAAGCUGAUGGAUUUGAAUUAUUUUUGCUGAGCAAUAUUCAGAAAUAAACAGAUACUAAUAGGCUUUUUACAUUAUUCACUGAAUGACGUAAAUAACUUCACUGAGUUGAAGUUGCUUUCAGUUACCUCUUCUUUCUUCCCAGUUUUCUUCUGUAAGCUGCUCCAUAAGUUCUGAGGAUCAAUCUUAAGAGCAGGCCAGCACAGUGCUUUCUCUGCAAUUCAGCCAAUUCCUGAAGUUCCUAUAUAGGGCAGAUUUCAUCCACCACUGAUUCCCUACUCAUCCAUAUGGCUGAUAGAAAUGACUGCAGCCACAUCAUGUUUUCAGCUGUGAGGGCCAAACUACACAUUACACAUUUGAAAUGCAUUUUUCACCUCAAAGAAUUCUGGGCGCUGUAGUUUGUUAAGGGUUGCUGGGAAUCGUAACACUGUGACAGGUAAACCACAAUCCCUAGAAUUCUUUGAGGAAAAUAAUGUGCUUUGAAUGUGCUUUAAAGGUAUACUGUGUAUGCAUCCUCAGUGGAAGGAACAAUGAAGUGUCUUACCUGUUCUUCACCUUCUACUUCGCUAGUUCAAAUGGUCUCCUCAAAUGGCAUUUCCUCUGUGGUGUUCCAAACAUGGGCUUGUUAAAAAGAACAAAGGAAAACCCACUUUCUGGGGACACAGAGGCUGGGAAAAAGAAUUUCCCUUUUCCCAGCUGCUUCUCCAAUCCCAAUUACGCUCCCCCCCCCAAGUGUUGUGUUUAUUUAAAGUAUAAAAAUACAGCAAAGGACUUAGGUUGCUGUAUAUAGCAUUACAGGCAGAACAAAGUUGAAGAGGGAGUCGCAUUGUGUGUCCACUAAUUCAGUUUGGUUGCUGGUGGCACCUUGCCAGCUAUGUCCUGCCACCACAUCUUCUCCUCCACAGACAGAAGAACAGAUGAGACGUGUUCUGCAUGAAGCAACACAAUAAACCUGCCAAUUUGGCAUGGCGCUUCUUACGUUAUUAUAUUUGACUUGCGGUUGGGAAUGGAAGAAACUAAACUCCUGUAAUUUAAACCUGAGUAGGACAUUGUGCGCUCUUUCAAAUGUUGCAUAGCUCUUAGAAGAUUGCAGCGGCUGCACACCAUUAUGGAAAGCAAUGUAAGGCAAAAAGAGAAAAAUGCUUUGAGUACUGCCUUUAAGUCAUGAUCAGAAGCCUUGGGAGCAUCUCUGAAAUGUCACCACCAGCAGAAUAUUGAGACCUAUAGUUUCAUACAGAUAAGAAAGCCUAUACUGUGGAGGGGAUAGGGGUAGCAGCAAACGGCUUAAACAGAACAGAUGGAGGUAAAACUGUAACAAAAAUGUUUUUGCACUGUUGUAAUGAUAAAACCUUCUUGACUUAGGAAAAAAUGUAAAAGAGGUCCUCAGAGUGAUUUGAAUCGUGCACUCCUGACCUAGGACGCCAAGAGGGAAAGGCACCCUUUACCCAUUUCCCAUUUGCCAACACAGCGCCUGUAAAAUAUCAGGCAGGAAUUGAGCUGAGCUGGGCUAAGGGCAGUGGGCUGAAUCUGACCAAGUGUUGUAACAAAAGCAAAUGUUUCCUCUAACUGUGAGGUCAGAUUUUAGCACAAUUGCAAUGAUUAAGUGAUACUUUGGGGGUAGUUAAGGUUGAGAAAAAAGAAAGGAAAAAAAGAUAAACCAUGCCCCAAAAGCUAAUAAAAAGAACAGAAUUCUGAAGGAACUCAACCUGGGGAAUCAUAAUUACUUGACAUUUUCACUGAAAACCAAGCAGUAUAUUAACAACUGGGAGCAUGUUUACUGAGAAGCAAAUGCAUUGUGAAAUAUUCUCAACUAGCAAUCUAUCCCAGGUAUUUUUGCUGGGUGAAACCAUUGGAUUUGUGUGCCAUUUUUAGAGGUCUCCAGUGCACCAAUGUUAAUAGAGUUUUGUUGUACUUCUGGUUUAAUUUGUUCUGGACUUUAUUAGCUUCCCCUUAACACGUAUGCUGUAUUAAUCUCUACUUAUAAAUGACACUCAGGGCAUUUAUAGUGGACAUUCUAGAUAUACUGGGAAAAGGCACAGGGAGCAGGAUAAAUAACAUAUAAAACAAAUUCCAAAAGCUUGUCUUCUUUCAAGCUAUAAUUCCAUAAAAACAAACUUUGUCAAAGAAAGUACAAGUAUCUCACAUGUGGUUAUGGCUUGGGGAUGCUGCUAUGUAACAAUAUAUCAGGAUAUUAUUAAAUAUGCCUGUCUAGAAGAUCUGGAACCCUCUCUAUCACUCAGACCUCCCAAAUUGUACAGAAAACCCAGAGAUAAUGCAAAGCAAAAACUACAAAUCUUUUGGCUUUAAAAUUGCACUAGUCUCUUAAUAGGUAAAAUAUUUUCUGCACAUCUUCCUUGACUUUGAUACUCUGUCCCUGGGAGAUAGAUGUCAGCUUUACUGAUAGCAGAUAUAUUUUCUUAUUUUGCUCAUCAAUUACCUUUUUUGCCGUGUGCCAAGGUUACAGAAUGAUGUAGUGCAGAGAUUCGCUACUACUAUCAGCUUCUGGAAAAUAGGGUUACCUGUACCCAGGUGUACCUAUUGUUGACAGUGUUGCACCAUCUGUGAUUUUUUUUAAGCCUAUGUCACAGAGACGAUCUGACAUCUGUCACUUAUUUAGAUAAGAGAUAUAUAAUCCAUGUGGCUCAUUGAUCCAACAGGAGUAUGAAUCCCCAGGGCUCCUCCUUUGUGCAAUUGCACAGUAGUGGAAAACAGCAGCUCUUUCAUGACCAAUGACGGACCCCUAUGGCACCAUGGUAUGGCAGUAGUCUGUUCCUCCCCAACAAGCCCACAGCUGCAUAAUGUUCUUUUAGUGUCAACAAACAGCCUCAUUGUGUUCCUUUUCUUUUCCUAUCCUCUCUCAUACAAAACCACAAGAUGGUUUAGAGCAUUCAACUAAAGGACCCUCCCUCAAAACACACACACACCCUGGUAGGAUACUAACAAGAUUACUGUCCAGCUUUAAACACACUUGGUACCAGCUUAUCAUCAGCCAUUAAAAUAUUUGCCAAGUUGGAUAAGAAGCUCUUGCUUUUUGGAAAAUGUUUGACCAUGGCAGAAGUCCAAGGGCGAAAAGUUCCACUGUUAGUUGCCAUCUUGUGCAGAUAAAAUAGUCAAGCUGUCUUGGUUCAUUAUAAUGAUCCUUAUCUAACAUAGUCGUAGAAGCAGUCUCAUUGACAAGCAGGGUAUGAUAUAUGCCUGCUUAUUUACACUACGUGUAAUUUAGAUCCCACUGAAAUCAGUUGGGCAAGUUAGUCAUUCUUUAACUUAAUUCUACUAAGUUCUACUAACUUAGUCUGGACCUAACCCUCUGUUAUGAAAUUCUUUUUGAUGUAAGCCACCAUAUCUCAUGUAGGGGAUUCUGCCUGCCUCUCCUCAAGGAGAUCUAAGGUACCUUGCACAAUUAUAUGCCCAAGGAAUAAAUAAUCUGUUUUAUGCUAUGAAAUCACUCCCCACUGCACAUGUUUGACUUGUGAGAUUGAUUUUCCUCAUUUUAAAUUUUCUUCACCUCCACACUUUGGAACCUUUGGUUCCAGACCAUUAAAUAAAAAGUUCAUGCUUUGUAGAAAUCCAAAAGAAAGAAAAUGGCCGGGGAGGCAAUUUCCUCUAUCCUUUGUUAUCCGUCAAGAAAAAGAAAAAAGAAAGAAAGGCCUCACACAGGGAAACAUUCUGCCUUAUACCCCAGUGUAUUUUGUAACCACUUCUACAGAGAACACAGUUUUUAAACAAAAGAAAGUGCAAAGCAAAUGCUUAUUAGGCUGGUGUGGUUCUGCAGUUUAUUAAAGGCUAAACCAAAAAUAACAUUGAGCCACCUCACAGAAAGGUAAUGAGAUCCAAUUGAAACUGUUACUUUUGGCAUUUCAUUUAAUCACUUAUGCAUAAGUCUGAUGUCAAUGUUUCUGGCAUAUUUGAUUUUCUUUAUUUUUGGAGUCUUAAAAAAAAGAAGAAAAGAGCAUGAAUUAUGUACUGGACCUCAAGCUAGUAGUUUGCCCCUGAGUGAGGGGCUGCAGGAACACUGGUCAGAUAUGGCACAUCGGGCUUCCCUAACCAGCACACAACCUCCUCAUCUUCCUUAUAUGUGUUAUUUAGGUUUAAAAACAGCAUUCAGUUAACACCAAUAGACAACUAUUUGCAAGCCUAAUUCCAUUGUGGAGGGGGUGGUGCAGCUGAAAAGGUUAGGAGGUACUCCUUCCCUCACUGCCCCCCCCAAAACUCAUUCUUCCCCUGCCCCAAGACACUCCACCUGUGCUGGAAUGGGGCUUAAAAUUACGCUGGAGUUAGGCUACUGGUGUCAAUAGAAGGCUGUUUUCAAUGGGGAGAGAGUACAGUCUUCAUGUACAGGGCAGCUGGGGAGAGAAAGGUCAGUUUGGCUCAUCCCAUUUCACUGCCAAAGUGUGUGUGUGUGUGUGUGUGUGCAGCUGCAGUGUUGGCUUCUAGGUUCUGGCGAUGGCAGUGCCCUCUACCUCAUGGGAGAAGCAGUAGUGGCCUCUGGUUUCCAGCAACAUUUCACCAGAACCCGGAAGCUGCCGCCACUUCUCCUUGCUUCUCCGGAGAUGCUGGAGGGGGGGAGGUGCCCACAGUGGUGCCAGGGAACUCAUCCAGUGGCACCCCAAGUGUCCCCCGCUGCAGGAGAAGUGAAGGGAAGCACCACCAGCACUUCUUGUUUUUCUGGUGGUGGCAGCAGCAGGCGGGUCACUCAUAGGGUUCCACUGCCUCCGUUUGCCUUAGGGGUAGACUGGCCCUGAGUUUAGGGCCUAACAUCUUUUAAUUUUCCUCUGAACUUACUGUUUGAGAAACACCCCAGAAUCCAAUAACACAUCUGAUGACGUGUACUACAGCCCCCAAAAGGUGAUGCCAUAAUGAAUUUGUAUGAUUUUGAAGUUUCACAAUACUCUUUUAAAAUUUUUGCUGCAACAGACUAGCACAGCUACCUGUUUCGGAAGUAUUCUGGUUACUUUUGUUUUGUUUUGUUUUUAAAUGAGAAAAGCCAGACACAGUUCUCACUUGCACCGGUCCACUCCCAGUGCAAGGAUUCAUUUUGUACUGGGUACAUUAAUGUGUGCUGACACUUUGCAUCAACCAUCGUUUCCCAAACUGAUGUACCCCCUGGAAUGGAUGAGGGGAUUAGGUAAUGGCCAGCUGUAAAUACCUGGGCACCUGGUUUUGGAUUUGAAUAUGAUGUGCCGGCCUAUAGAUAGUGGGGCAGUACAUGUGUCCAUUAUCCUAUAUUUCGUUUAUAACAACCCAGUGUGUUAUUAGGCUGAGAAGUGGAACCUGACUCAGGAUCACCACAGUCACCUAAGCAGGGAUGUGAAGCCAGCUUUCUGCAGUCUAAGGUCAUCACUAUGCUCACUGCACCUCACUGGAUAGAGCUCUGUCUCUUUUUCUUUGUCUGUCUCCCUCCUACAUUCUAGCUAGUCCACCUUUUAUCUAUAUCCUGCUGGAACUGUCUGCUUGCUUGUCAUACCUAAAGGGCCAUCAGAAGUGUAUCUUUCCCUUCAGUGGGCUGACCCUAGACAAGUAAGCCUUGUGGUGAUGGCCUGGGCAGAACUGCAACUUUCUUGGCCCUUUUGCAGCUUUGCAAUUGGUGCAAGUUCAUAUAAAUGCCCCUGCCCCCUGAGAUAAAAUUGAUAUACAUCUAUAGGAAAUGCAAUGUAAAUAUGUAGUCGUUGUAUUUUAAGGCACCACCAUAAAGUCAAUAGGAAACUAAUUAUACAGUAUAUCUCUGUCUUGGUGGUUGCUACAUAUGCUAACUGAUUUUUAUUUAUUAUUUUUGCUAUUUUUGUUAGCUACAAGGAGGUUUUCCUUAGUAUCUACAAGGAAAGGAACAUGCAUGAUAACAUAACAGGAACAGCUGCUUAAUCUGGAAGUAUCAUCCAGCAUUUUCUCCCCAGAUUGUUUGGAUCUUCCUUGCUAUGCAUGGACUAACUGACCAAUGUGAUUGUGAGUGUUUAAGGCUGGGAGGCCUGCAGAAAGGAUGGGUGAUUUCCUGAUACGACAUACCUGAUAUGUAUAGAGACCGGGUAUGUUAAGAUCUUGCAAGUGUACAAAAGUUAAAACUAGCUCCCCUGCACUCUGCACUUUAUUAGGAGAUGGUAUGAAUAGCGUCUGCUGCUGAAGGGGAAAAUUUGUAUGGCGAGAUGGCAGGAAACUGUUCUGGUUUUUGAUUAGUUAGUAUCUCUUGCUGUAUGUUGUGACCUCCCUGUUUGAGAUCUGUAUUGAUUGCUGAUAGGUUGCACUGUGCUAUGUUAUGAGUGGAUUGUGUUUUAAGUGUGAAAGGUUCUGAGGUUUUGUUGAUAUUUUUGUGUUGCUUUUAUGCUGUAAACUGCUCUGAACUGUCUCUUGGGAGAAAGGGCAAGGUUUAAAUUUGACAAAUAGAACAAUAAUAAUUUUUUUUAAAAGAAAGCAGCCUGGGUCACCCCUCUCUCUGAUUUGUAGGGAAGAUCCAGGCUCUGUGCUGGAGUGCAUUCCGCCAGCUGCAGACCAAAUUCCCCAAGGAAGCCCAAGCAGGUGGUUUGAAUUCCACUGACAGGUGUUGCUAGUUCCUGUGUUAAGGAUAGCUGGCUUUCUACCUCUUGCUCAAAUUCUGGAAGGAACAUUUCAAAGCUAAGCAAAUUUGUGUCUGUCACUGUCAACAUUCUUAUUCCCACCGUGGUGCUCAUAAUGGUUGUAAUGACACUGUGGUGUUUUCGGUUUCUUUUUUUAAAAUGCUAGUUCAGCAGCUCACAUUGUAGUUGUGGGAUAAUUAGAUUUGUUUUGGCUUCCUUGCACUCGCUUGCUCAAUAGUUCAAAAGUUGGCACUGAAAAGUGAGUUUGAGUUCAAACACAUAUCAGUUGGAGUUCACUAUUCAAGCACAUAUGGAAGGCUUGCAUCUGUGCGAUAUUUUUGAGGUUGCUAUUAAAGAAUGUUGUUAAAAUAGCCCUGGCUAGAAAUAGCUUUGCCUUUAAUUUUAACUUCAUUAAAAUGGGAUUGAAGAAAGAGGGGCAAUAAAUUAUAAAGCUGUACAAUGCUUUCUGGGAAGAUGUACAGAAUGCAGCUCAUUUUUUGUUUUCCAUUUAUAUAAUAAGGACAUUUUCACGCCCUUGGCAGCAGCAACUAAAUGCACCGCUGUAGCCCAAACUACAUUUUAUGGGAUUAUGUGUGGGAGCUGCUGGCUCACAUCUCCUUGGUAAUGUUGAGUUGAAAAAAAAGCACAACGUGAUGUCAUUGUGUUAGUUUUCACCCGCCCAUUCCCCUGCUCUGGUUCAUUGGCUGCCACACAUCUUUUAUUCUACAAGUUACCAGGGAGAUAUGGCAGUUGUUUUGGCUGAAGUAAGUGUGGUCACGUAGAAUUAGGGCAGAACUACGUUUUAUGAGCAAUGCCAGGAUGCUGAUGAAAUGGCAUCUCUGUUUUGAGCUGCCUUCUUUCCCAUGUAAUGUUUGGAAAUGCCAACCUAUGUUGUGGCACUGCCACACUGUGCCUUUUGCUAUCCCUGCUCAGUAUCAUUCCCCCUCUCCCCCCUUUUAGGGAAGGCAGACUAAAGGAUACCGCCCAAGGCCUAAAACCGCCAAAGUUGCGACAAUUGCUACGGGGAAGGCAAAACCUGGGCGGCAGGAAAAAUUCCUUCCCGGUUCUUUAACAGCAACCAUCAUAAGACUGUAGCAAUGCCUUCUGACCCGGAAGGAAAAAAGGUUAACCUGUAAUCAAAGCAUUAAACAGAGAGAGGGUUGGGUGGGUGAAGCUCCGAAGCCAACUGCACGCUCCCAGGUUGGCUCCAUCCCUCUCUUUAUACCCCUAAAGCGGACCGGAGUGAAGCCUGCUCACUCUCGGUCCACUUGGUUGGCGCCGCCUCCGCCAUCAUCAUGGGUUGGCUCAUUUGAACUGGGGUUUAGCGGGAACCCCAACGGUUGUGAUGCGGGAAGGCAGGCCAGCGUGACCAUCCAGUAAGUCUCCAGCGGAGCGAUCAUUAUUGGUGGAGUGGGGUGAAAGGCUCAGGAUGAUGAUGUCGCAAGUGGGGUAAGUGCAUACCUUUUAAGUGUUCCGAUUUGCCCAGGACAUCCCUGGAAUGACAGAAGUCAUCUCAGCUUCUUAUUUGACCCUGGAAUGUCCCAUUUCCCCUCUCUACCACCACCGCCACUGAGAUCAGAGAGGAGGAUGAGCCAGUGUUUGCGCUUGCAGUGGAACCAUCAUGAAGUGGAACCCUUGUGUGUGUGUGGGGGGAGGCAGUUCCCCAUUGAAGCGGAGAUGCAGUGCUCUUGCCAGUCCCUCUCUGCCACUGCCAAAGCUGCUACCACUGUCAUGGUGGCAUGAGGUGCAGUGUGGGCAAAGGAAGCAAGUGAGGAGGGAAGGGAGUGGGCAGCUGCCAGGCAGAGACUGUGGCAGAGCAGGCAGCCAGCUGAUUUGCACAGCACCAAAAGACCAUCAUCCUGAUUUUCAGCUGAAGAAUGUUGGAGGGUAUGUAAGUGUUAUUACAUACAGAGGAGAGAAAGAGCUCAGCCCAGGGGUUUAUCAUUUUCUCUCUUUUUUUUUAAUGAUAUUUAUUGAGAAUUUUAAAGUUACAAAGAAAAAAGAAAGAAAAGACAAGAGAAGGAGAAAAAGAGAGAAAGAAAUAGAUAAACAUAACAAUUAAAGAAUACAGAUCAAUAAAAACCAAAGUCAAACAAAAAAAAAACCAAAACACACAAAAACCAAAAAAAAUAACAAAACACACAAAAUCAGAAAACAAAGAUAAACAAAGAUAAACAAAAAAUUAAAAAACAAGUCUAAUAUUCCCAAAUCCUUAACUUUCAUUAACUUAUUUCAACGACCUCCUCACACCUCCCUUUUUUGUAUUCUAGUUGUUAAUUAUCUCAGCAAAUCCUUUCCAUCUUUCACAAUAUUCUGUCAUUAAAUUACCUUAAUCUAUUUUAACCUUAUCUUACCCUAAAAAACCCUAAAACUUAAAACUUAAAUAUUAUAUAUAUCAAAUUCUUUUAACCAUAACAUAUUCUUACAUAAUUCUUUUUAACAUUUCUGCUAAAGCCAAAUAAAUUCACUCCAACAUUUUUCUAAUACUCAUUAAUUUUACGAUAUUUUUCUAAAUAAAUUUUUAAAACUUUCUUCCAAUCUUCAUCCCUCGUCUCUUCUUCCUGGUCUCGGGUUUUGUCAGUCCUUUCUCGUCCAUCUAAUCCAUCAACCUGGUGCUCUUAUGUCUGAGGCUCUUAAGUCUUUUCCAUGUCCCUUCUGCAGGUCUUCUUAUUGUUUAUACCUGCCCUUUACUUUGUCUUUUGUUGAUCUUUUUCUUAUUUUCUUUCCUUUCUCAUUGGGGGGUAGGUCUCGGGAGGACUCCAAUCCAAUAAUAUCUCCAUCUCUCCUCAGCAGAUCAGCCCAUUCCCCACAGUCAACACUGUAGUCCAGAAAGUAUUUAAAAGCAUCUUUCCAAAAUUAAGAGCCCUCACAACUCCAGACCCCCCUUGGUCCACUCCAGAUUCAAACUUCAUGAACAGCGGCUUAUACUCCUGCAAGGCCCUGGAUCUCUCCAUUUGUGUUGUGGAGCAACCUCCUCCAUUUUCUUCUGCACUUGCGCUUGCCCUAUCAAAACAAAUUCCUGGGCUGGUUCCUGAAUGGUUUCUAUAUGGGUAUUCGCCGUUUGUCCAAAAUUUUUAACUGCAACAGUCAUCAAAUCCAUCUUCUCAUGCAUCUGCUCCAGCAAAGCACUUGUCUUGCAAAGAGCAAGCACCAAGACUUCUUGUAAACACAUUUCCCCCCCCCCCCCCAAGGUUAGAGUCUGGUCUCACGAUCCUAAUCAUACAGCAGCUCCGGCAACAAAUUAACAAACUCCCUCUAGAGGAGACAAUUUCUAUUUGUAUCCAUCUUUUGAAAGCAGGACCAACAAAGAAAAAUUACUUUCACUUUUCAAAUACUUUGUUUCUUUUGAUUGCAAGAAGCAACAUUGGAAUCAAUUUGUUUCUCUCUCUCUCUUUUUUUAAACUAUCUGUCAAAAGACGUUCCAUUCACAGUCGAUGAACUUCCCCAUAAAUUUCUGUCUCUCACACCCCGUUCCCAGGUUUGAGACGGUGGAAAAUUUAUCUUUCUUUAUUCUCUCUCCUGCAGGCUUAAACAGUCAAAAAUCCCCCUCUUUUCUCCUGCUUCCAAGAGGGGUUUUGGUAGUGAUGAAUGAAGGAAAUUUAGAACUUUAUAUACGACUUUCCAGACUUUAGCUUACAGAGUUUUUGCUUCAAUCUAUUUACAAAAAACGGGAGGCAGACUUCCUGUUUAGAACCUUCCCGUUUCGGUGCCAAAUUAAAAUAUUUCUUAAUCCAGUUUUCCGUUCUACUCACGGGUACUUGUUUAGAGUCCAAUUGUCCACAGGAAAAAGUCAGCGCUCUCCGGCAACGGCUGUGCGGCUUCACUCCGUAAAAGUAGCGGUUGAUUCAAAACACCAUGCCACUCACCCCACGUCGCUUCGGAUCCCCGAAAAAGGGUUUCCCUGUGAGUAGGGGAGGCGCUCCUGGUGUCAGCCGAAUCCCAUGUUCCCAGGCUUCCUCCGCCUGGGAUUUUUAAAGGGUCUCCGCCUUCACCGCGGCGGCAAGACCCGAUUUUCACGGAGCGGGUUCCUCUCGGUCAGAGGAACUCCGCCAUUGCCGAUGGCGCUGACCCUCAGCCCAGGGGUUUAUCAUUUUCGACAGCAUCCCCAUGACAAUGCAUUAUCAAAAACUUCUGCAUUUUCUUUACUAAGCAGAGCACUCAGUACCACUGCUUUGAAUUACACUUCCCCUACAAACUAGACCUGAAAGAAGUGGGAUAGCACUAUCAUACAUAGACUGAGCAUUAUAUCACGCAUAUGAUAUCAUACAUAUAUUGAACAGCUGAGCAGUCUUAAUAAAUGCCGCUUUUAUUAAUAUUGCUUGUGUAAUAUAUUUCUGAUCCAGUUUACUAUUGAGUGCUGCAGCUUCACAGCCAAGUUGAAAAUGUGUGGUAAUAUAUGGUGAUCUUACUCUUUAAAAAUGUGAAAAGGAUUUGUCACACUUUCCAUCUCAAAUAGGAUUAUAUGAAGUAAACCCUGUCCAGCAUUUCCUCUUCCAGGCUAUAUGCAUUGCGUAAGUAAUUCAGAAUUGCCUUUAUCUCAUAUUUUGUUUGUAAAAGUCUGAAAGAAAUAAAGAUAUUAUCUUAAACCUUCCCCUGAUGGACUAUUUUCCAGUGUAAAGUUCUUUAGAGCUGCUGGAAAUGUAAAAUGAAAAUGAUGAGAAAUUGUAAUAAAUCUCAGAAAUACAAUAUCUCCAUGGGAAUAAUAAAAAAGCAGAGACAUGAUUACACCAAAUAUCAGUCAACGAGAGUUCAAGUAAAUCUCAUAUAUGUUUGCCAUAAUGUUCCUUUCUUUUCAUGUGGUAGUCAGUAUGGCUGAAUGUGUGGUGGCAUCUAUGAAUAUCUGCGAGUCUGAUGAAGCCCAGUGAAUAUCCUUGGGUCAAUCAUUAUCUCUCAGCCUAUGCUACAUCACAGGGUUGUUGUGAGGAAAAAUAGAGGGGGCAGAAGCACGUUCAGGGAAUGUGAUGAUCACUGUUCUCUUCUGAUUAUCAUGUAAAGUCUCAUAUUGUGGAUAAUGCACCCCAUGAACUGAACUUCAGGGAAGAAAUGAAAUUCUCCCUUUUAUACAAGACCUAGAAGCAUGGGAGGAAAAUGUCUGACUCCCUUUAGAAAAGACAACAACACUAUUUUGAUGAAAACCACCAAGCUGCUGUAAAAGAUUUAAAUAAUGAUUUUAAAGCAGUAUAUACACUUACACAUUCAGAGGUCACCUUUGCUUGUUUAAACAUGCUUUUUUGCUAUCAUUAGCAUAAUAUACAUAAACAAAACCUGAGAAACCACUGCGAAUAUCAUUCAAAUUACUGCCAACUUUCCUUUUGCCAGAGAAAGUGAUCUUGGAGAAAGGUGACUUUGAGAAGUGACCUGGGGGUACAGGGCAGUGAGGUAAAGUUUCACCCCAUUACUCCUGAAGGAGGGAUGAGAACCUUCAGAUGAUGGACAUCCAUCAUGCCUGACCACUGGCUGGGGCUGAUGGGAGUUGUAGUUUAAGAACAACUGAAGGGCCACUGGUUCCCCAUCCCUGAACUAAAGGGUCUGUUGACAAGUUGUGUCACCGUGGGUAUAUGGGACCAGAUAUCCCUGCUGCUUCUUAGUAAAUAUGAAGAGACAAACAUCAUCAUCAUCAUCAUCAUCAUCAUAAUAAUACCCCACUUUUCCCGCUGAUGGGACUCAAGGUAACUUACAGAUAAAAACAAGAAACGCUGAAAACAUAGAAAGAGCAAUAAUUAAAAUGCAAUUAACCAUUGAUAAAAUAAGAACUGUAUACAUAUAUAAAAUACGUUUAAAACGUACUGAUAAUGAGAAUAGAAACAGCACGGCAAGACUUUUUUCUGCUUUUAGAAUGCGGAAGACAGCAGCAUAUACCAGCCCUACUUGGUCCUUUUUAGGAGUGCAUAAAUAUAUUCUUAUAAAUAUAUAAAUUCACUGGAUUCCUGAAGAGUUUCUCCUAAACAUUUCCAAUGAGCCAAUGAAUAGCCGUGUGAGUAGACUGCAAGUUUGCAGAUCUAGACUUGGGGUUCCAUUUGGUCACCAGAAAGUUAUCCCAUAGACCUCACCAAGAUUAUCACAUUAAAGAGAUGCCUACUUAAUAUAUGCUGAAACACAGUUUACCAGGUAACUAGAUGUAUUUUAAGUCUUUGUAAUGUGCAUAUAUUGAUCCAAGAGGAAACAUGGAUUUAUUUUUUAAAAAUACUGUUAUAUGGUUUCCCAUUCUACAGUAGUACCUUGGGGUAAGUACUUAAUUCGUUCCAGAGGUCCGUUCUUAACCUGAAACUGUUCUUAACCUGAAGCACCACUUUAGCUAAUGGGGCCUGCCGCUGCGCCGCUGCUGCACAAUUUCUGUUCUCAUCCUGAAGCAAAGUUCUUAACCCGAGGUAAUAUUUCUGGGUUAGCGGAGUCUGUAACCUGAAGUGUCUGUAACCUGAAGCAUAUGUAACCCAAGGUACCACUGUAUUAUUUCAGGUCUACAUAAACACAUUUUUAUAAAUAAAUAAACUUCCUGAAAUCAUUUUUUUCUUGUUACUGUUUCUCUUAAAAUAGCCCUACUAUUCAAGCAUCCUGAAAUCACAGACAUAAAACUCCAUUGAAUUAACGUAACACUGACAGAACCUGACACACAGCCUGGAAAUUCAGAGCUGUGGUUGGCAUCCCCUUCUGAACUCAAGCCACUGUGCCUUUUAUUUUCCACAGGAGCAUUAUUGCAGCUUUGAGUGUGGAUUUCCUGGUUAUUAUUAUUUUUAUUUUCAUCUGCAUGUGUUUUCUGCCUUUAUGUUAUUUAAAACUGGGCUUCUGUUCUGGACAUCUACCACAAAAGAGAAUGCAUUGAAGUCUGACUCAUUGUUUGUAUUGAUAAAGCCGGUGUAUAGAUCAAGAAGCAAGACUAAUAUUGAUCCAAACUAGGCCAAAUCUUUCUAGAUGGAAGGAAAUCAAGGUAAUUUGUUGUGCCGACAUAUAACACCAGUCAAAACCUUGAACACUAUGUUCUGAGAAGUGCAAGAAAGACAUUUCCCACAUCAUUAUUUAGUAUCCACUUCUACAAAUGCAGACAAUUUGGAAAGUUCAGUUAGGCAUACCUUGGGUUCCAUUCCAAUAUGCCCAGGUUAUUGUUGUUGUUUUUUAGCUCUGAAUUCUACAUUGAAUCUACCACUGAAUCUCAGUAAACACAAGGCAAAAUUAAGACCAUCAUUCCCAAAAUGAAUGCCAUUAGCUUUCAUCUCCGCUAUACGAAACUACCAUGCUUCUUAGCAGCUAACAGAUGAAGUACCGAUACAAUUCCUGUAUUGAGCAGGUUCACAUAGAUUAUUUUCAAGGCCUCUUCCAGCUCAGAAAAUCUGACUGUUCUGAAGUCUGAUAGCCACAAUUAUUCCAUAGUUAUUCCUUUGAAUAUGCCUCACUGUCUCAAAUUGAGACUUUUCUAAUGAUUAUCGGGUCCUCCCUUAAAGAGGGCACAUAUUGUGGUGAGACUUGGACAACCAACACCCUGUGUUGUGGGUGGGUACAAUUGGUUAGCUACAGCACCCGAUUGGUAGGUCCCUCGAAGCUGGGUACAAUCUGGCCAAUGGGAUGCAGUCUAAAUGGUUCGAGGGACCUAUUUAUGCCCAUGCACGUGACCCAGAGCUUCCUCUUUUGGCGUGUGCAUUCGGAACACCCGCCCACCUCUCCCUACUUUUAGGGCUUGUUGCGCUUGACCUUGCUAUGCCGUCGUGUCUCAUCUUUUCCCCACUUGGCUGAUAGGCUGUUUCCAUUUGGGUUUCGCCUGCCGCGUAGCAAAUCAUCACAACUUGUAAGGUUGCGGAUAGGCUCUGGUUCAGGUGAUAGGGAUGGGAGAACGUUCUCUCCAUCCCUAUGUGAAGGGUAUUCUGUUAAAGGAAUCCAGGGACUCGAUGGUUUGGUCAACACCUGAGAAGGGGUUGUUCCCGUGCCUGAGUCCAGGGGGACAUUUGGGUGGUGGAGUUAGCCUGUGCCCGGCUUUCUGCUUAUCCAGGUGUUCACCCUUGGCUGACCUAUGCUGGUGCCCUGGGUCAGCGCUACUUGCAUGGCAGGUAGUCGAACCAGAACCUAUGCAACAAGUCACUUUCUGUAAUCAAUAAAGUUGUGGCCUAAAUUCUGCCAAAAACCAAACCAAAAAUUUGAGUCAAGUGUGAAUUUAUUUUUUUUGGGGGGGGGGGGUGUUUCUGGGUCUGAACACACAAUAAUGGAAAUACCUGAGUGCACAAGUGAGCAUUUUACAACAGCUCUGUUUAAUCAUGGAAAUCUGGCCACCAUGAAUUCAAGAAUUAGUGAAUGAGAUGAAUACAUUUUCUGGGAGGCAACUCACCCUCAUUUCAUACAAUCAUGCCCAUAUCAUACUUUCAAACUGUUCAAAUAUUUAUAAAUCAAUAUUUAUAAAUAGUUACCCAAUGCCUAACAAACUUCCUGACCCUCAUUAAUAUACAUUUCAUCCUUCCUUUAACUUACCCUUCCAUUUUGAGUGAAAUUUCUCCUUUUGAGAUUAAAUAUGAUUAUGUUGAAUUUAACUGAGCCAUUCCCUACUCACAGAUAUUAAAUUUCGUAAGGCUGAGGCUACAAACAAGAUCCUGGACACUAUAUAAAACCAAGAUCCUGCUAUUUGUUUAUAUGGUUACUCAGGGCAUAUUAUUUACACCACCUUGGUGGAGAUGAUAAAAUCAGUGAUACUUCCACUUCUAGAGGAACAGAGGAACUGAAUGAACUGGUGAAGGCUGCUGGAACACGUUGUGUCUCUGAAGGCUAUUUGCAUCUUGAAUUUUAUAUUUGCGCAAGUGUCUUUAUAUGUGACCUGUGUCUUUUACGUGAUGACUUCCCAUUUCCCAUCCUUACUGUAUCGGGUUGUAUCUCACUGCUCAGCGGGAAUUGUGUCAAGCUCAGAAAUGCCUUAGGUUACGGGUUCUCUAGUCUCACUGAUGACAAUAAAAUAAACUGUUGAGUUCGGAGUGCUGUGCAUCCUGUCUGCUGAAGCCUUCUUCCUGUCUGUAGGAAGGCAUUGUCUAUCCCAUGGGGAAAGUGUUUCUUGCCAGACAAUGCAAAGCAGCUUCUCACCUUCCCCUUAGAACGAAAGAAAGGAAACCAGAGUGCUGCCAGCCAGAGAUGAAGAGGAAAAACAUGCCACAUCAUUUAGUGCUAAUAAUGACCAGAAAUCCUUGAUAGCUGCAAGGCAUUCAGGGCAUUCUCAGUUUUAAAAGAAGGCGGCGAAUACUAUGGUCAGAUGGCUGCAAGUUUUAAUACCCCUUUCCACUAGUGCUAAUGUGGGACUUUUGAUAGAAAUUAGAAUUCAUAGUAAAUGCUUUGGGGGUGUAGAACACUUCCUUAGCAAAGAAAUGAAGCUAGGGAGAUGUAAAAAUAAUAGGAUUGCUUUCUGAAAACUUUUUUCUUUUUUUGUAUUUCUGUAGGAUACAAAAAAAGUCUCCGCUGCAUCAGACUAGCUUAUUAGUUGUCUGCCAUUGGAUCCAUUUCCUAUGUCUUAGAGAAGAAAAGAAAGAAAAGAGCAGAUAAUAUUAAGAUUUCAGAUAGUAUGCUGCUAAUGUGAACAUAUCCUAAGACCAAUCAUCAUUAUUCUCCACCACUCAGUGGAAAUGGGAUAGAAACAAUAUUGAAUGGGCUGAUACCCAGGAAGACCAUUGGUGAUUUUAUAACGGUGGAUGAUUGGUUGCAAAGGCCAAAUAGAUCACAAGACCAUCAGUUUAAAUAAAUGUAUUUUCUUCUUUGUCUUUUCUCUGGCUAAUAACUCUACAGAAUUGGGAUAUGGUUAGAAAGACUAAAUUCUGCUAAGUGUUCUGAUUGGUUAUUCUUAGUGUCAUACGGAUGCCAAUGAAGUCCGGUAAAUCCAUGGGCCUGUUUUCAUUAUUAUGUAGAAAUUCCAUUUCAUGACAGAAAUAAUAUAUUCCAGACAGAGAAUUUCAGGGUGAUAAUUAUACUUCUUGGGUGGUUAAAGUAACUCCACCUUAGUUGAGUGAGUAGAUUUGCCUGCUGGCAAAAAUGGCAAACCUUUUUUUGGUUUCAGCUGAUUUUUUUCUUUUAAGGAGAAAGGGAGGUAAUUUUGGUAAUAUAUUUCAAUAUUAUUGGCCAGAUAAGAAUAAAGUGAUAUCAGACCCGAGUAUAAAAAAUACAUUUUUACUGACAAUGUCAGCCUGCCCUUUACUUAUAAAAAUAUCAGUCUGCCAUUUACAUAAAGGAGUUAUACCUCCAUAAUGUCUGAACAAUGGCUUGUGAUGUAAUCCAAAGUGGAAGACAGCACUUUGGAUGCAAAGUAAGCACUAUAAAUUAUUGAGCUGCCAUAAAAAAACCCCCAAAACAGUUGGAGAAAAUUUCCAAAUCUCAUUAAUUUCCUAUGCAAUAAGAGGCAUCAUUCUGUAUUUGUAUUUAGAAGAAACAGGAGAAAGUGUGAAAAAUAUAUGAAUUUAGUUUUACGAUGGCAUUUCUGAUAAACUUUCUUAAGAAUGCAAGAAGACCCAGCUGGAUGAGGCCAUCUGGUCCUGCAUCCUGUUCUCACAGUGGCCAAUCAGAAGCCUGCAGGAAACCCACAAGUAGGACCCAAGCACAAGAGCACUCGGCCCUCCUGCAGUUUCCAGCAACUUGUAUUCAGAAGCAUUAUUACAUCUGACCAGGCAGGAAGAGCAUAGUCAUCAUGGCUAGUACCUGUUGAUAGCCUCCUCUUCCAUGAGUUUCUCUAAUUCUCUUUUCAAGUCAUCUAACUUUUGCAUUUAAUGUUGCACAAUAUGCUGCCUUAACAUGGACUCCACAUAGCUGUGCAUAUGCAUGUAAGGAUAAGAAUUAGGAUACAGAUAAUCUCUGUCAUGCAAAACGGUAUCCAUUCCUCACCCCUUUUAAGUUAAUAGGGGAACUCACAUGGAUUUUAAUGAAGGAAUCAAGAUUGCAUCCAAGGCCUCACAUAUCCUGGGCUGGCUUGGGGGCAUAUAAAUUGCCCCUUCCUCUGAGUUCUCUUCACAUGGUCCCAAUCCUGAUGUAGCACAACUUCCCACCCCAUCCAGUGCAUGGAUGUGCACUGGGCAAUGAUAUCUCUAUACAUGAGCAGGCUUUCAUGUGUUCUGGAACCCCAGUUGUGCAGGUUUCCACCAGAAAGGCUUUAUGCCUAAGCUUUCAGUAUGCAGGUUUCCCUUAUGCAGAGGAAAAUAGAACAGUGGCUUGCAUACAAUGGUUGAUCUAACUUUUGCCAACCCUCUGCACCUUUAAACUGAUUGCAGCCCUCUAUAUCAUAUCCUAUAUUAUUUCAGAGGGUCCCUCUGUGUGGAUGUCACAGAGGGGCCAGGAAACUGCACAACACCAGGAGUGGGGCCAACAGCACAAGCCUACUGAUGUUUAUCUGUGUGGAUCCCCCUACACAUGAAUAAAAUGUGAAAGGACUUUGGGCUGGAUGGAAAAGUGGAUUUCAGCACUUCAGAAUACUUCUAAUCAAGAGUUAAUUUCCCUCCCUUGUCCUCAAACACUCUUUGUUUCUCCUUUUCAGUGUUUCCUUCUUCAAGCUUUUAAGUCCAAUGUUGAGAGUGAUUAAUGAGGGCAAAGAUUACUAUGAAUGUAAAGUUCAAGAGUAAGGAUGCUUAUUUCUUUAAGAAGGUUGUUUUUGAAGUGUUUUUCUAUAUAUUCAGCCCCAUGGUUGGACUGAAAUACUACAGCACAGUCACUGGCCUAUAUGAAUAUUGUUUUGACAGGAAAGAAUGCUUACAAACUGCAGAGCCAACUAAUCAAAAGGUUCAUGUUCUCAAAAGUAAUUCCACAUUUAGAUAAACCAUGCUCAUAGUCCCGACUGCGGGGAGGGUGGUGGGGUGUGUACAAUUUUGUAGCCAGAUUUAGAUAGCAAUGGGUGAGAAGCCCCAGAGGAAUUUGCUUUGAUUGCUGCUUUUAAAUGUUUAGCAAAGUGACCAAGAUGCUCUUCGUGUUCUGCAUAUUUUCCAUACUUUUUGUGAUACGUAUUUCCUUCAAAAGUCACACUCUUCGCGAUGUGCUAAUUAGAUUCGCCUUUAAAUGUGAACUGAAACAAAUUUCUUCCCCGUCCCUAACAACAGAACACAAGUUCUAAGAAUAAUGUAAUAUAGCAUACACUGAGGAAAUAUAUUUGGGAACCUUAAAGUAGUGAUGAGUGGGACCGGCAACAAAAUGUGUGAAGUGUGAAGUGCUCCUUGUUAGUGUUUCAGUCAUCCAGUUAUACCCUCAGCCAUGAUAUGUUAAUCUGUUCCCCUUUCCACUAAGUUUUGCUUUCUUUCUUCCUAAUGGCCAAUCAGUGUUUCAUGGCCACUGUAUGUGCACGGUCCUCAUUGUGCUAUUUGGGGGGUUUUCACCCAUUAGGCUUCUUUUCCUAAAGAUCUUUUCUACUUUUGCAAACCUUGAGCUUCCCUGCCCCAAGCCCACUGAAACCUCCUUCUUGGAAACAGAUACUGUCAUUUUGGCUACAUAGUACUCACCUCUGAAAAUUGGAAAUAGUGGGAAUGAUAUGAUAUGUGGUCCACCUCUGGCUCACCUCGCCCUGCUUCCAUCAAGCUCAAAGGUGUGUUUUUUUUAAGCAUUCUUGUUGGUUAAGGCUUAAUUGGUUGAAACAUGCUCCCACUUUCUGCCCCACCCCUUUGUCUUCCUUGAGCAAAAUUGGCCUUACCUUGAGGAAGGGGUUGUAAAUGGGGGGGGGCACAGAUAGGAUGGUGAUAGAAGGUAGGGUAUGAGUACCAUUUUGAGUUGGGCCUAGCUCAAAGUGGACUGAGACUAAGUCAGAAUGAGGCCGGCUUAUUUUGUGCCAUGAGGAGAUCAGUUUCCAAGCUUCUACUAACCAAGGGCUCACACCAUCACUGUGAUUAGUAACAGAGUCGUAAGCUACAUUGCGUUGCGUUAAGCUGCCCCUGCCCAAAUAUUCGCCUUGUAAUUCUGCAGCAAUCCUUCUAGAAAUGAAUAUAAAGUGAUUCUUCACUUUCUUUUCUAGCAACUCAGUUCUCCACAGCGAAUGCAUUUACUUUGUGAAAAUAAUUGUUUAGACAUAAUGGUGUUGUUCUGUUUUCUUUCACUGGAAAACAGUUGUAAUUGAAAAUAAAUUGUUAUUCAUCAUUUCUGUAUCCCCUCACAUAAUAUAUUGUUUCCUCUAUUCUUUUCCAAACAGGCUAAUUUAAAUCAGGUUCCCUUCCCCAUUUCAGUGCUUAUUCAAAUCACUGUCAGUGAUUAGCUAAGGAAAGAUUGUUUGGAUGCUUCCAAAUAUAACUCUUUCUUCUUCUUCUUCUUCUUUUUUAAAAAGUUAAAAUUCUUGUUCUUUUAAUGGGUUGGUUGCAAGAUUUCUUCAAAAUUAUAGCAGUUGCUUCCUGUUUUCAAAGGCUAUCCCAAACCAGACGUGGAGACAGGCUAGCAAAACAAGAUGCCUGUAUUGGGCUAAGCAAUAAUAGUUUUGUCCGACUGCAGGUGUCACAAUGAUUAGACACCCACCCACAGACAGCAAAGCAGGAGGCAGUUUCAUUCAACCCUAAAGGGAGCUUAUUGACCAGAGUUCAUGCAUCUGAGCUCAUAAGGUCAGAUUAUACAAAAGAAGCCAAAGCUGCACAAGGAAGGCUGAUAAACACCUUUCUUGCUUGAUAUUGUUCACUAUAACCAUAAGAAAAGCAAAAUACAAGUUUUUUUUUGUUUUGUUUUGUUUUAAUGAGAGCUUUAAUUUAAAAGUGAUUGGGUUGUACCAGGUCAGUGCACAUGUGCUUUUACAAAAUAGGCACCCAAUUUUUGCUCCCCUCCCUUGCAAGCUGCCCAUAAGAGCCGAGGGACCCUCUGAAAUAAUAUAGAAUAUGAUAUAGAGGGCUGCAAUGGGUUUGAGGGUGCAGAGGGUUGGCAAAAGUUAGAUCAACCAUUGUAUGCAAGCCACUGUUCUAUUUUCCUCAACAUGCACGUGCACGUGCACACACGCAGCUUUUCCGUGUCUUUCUUGGAUAAUAUGAUUGGAUAGCCAAUGUAGUGCUUUCCUGAUUUCAUUGGACUAUAAGGCCCAUCAGCCCUAGUCAACAUAGCCAACACUCAGUGCUGGUAGGAGUUUUAGUCCAAUAACAUGGACUUUUGUACUUUCUAAAUGUUCUGAUGCAGUUCUCAGCUCAAUGUAUACACAAAUACACAGUGAAGUGCAUUUAAAAGUGAGUAAUAUUUUGAGAAGAAAUAUAUAGACAUGCCCAUUUUGGCAGAAAAUAUGUUUUAAAAUACACAUUUAAAUGUGAAUUUUCAUAUUUCUUUUUAAAAGGUAGGUCAAAGCAGAAAUGAGACAGAAUGAACACAUGCCAAAAUAACCUGUUGGGGAACAGAUUAAUAUGCCUAUCCCUAGAUCCAGAUUGAAGGCUGAUGAACUGCCAUAUAGUCAAUAAUGAAAUAAUUGUACAGAAAUAAUAAACAAUGGUUUUAGCAAAUGCAUCUUGAGGAGGGGGCUAGAUGUUUACACUUCUCAAAGGACCAACUGCUGUUUGCCAGGUGCACUGUGGAGAGGGUGUGUGGCUUUGAGGGAAUCAGUGUUCAGAUGCCAAGCUUCAGCAAUGAUUUUUUUUUUUUUACAAUCAACUCCUAAAUAUAAAGGUUGGUAAUGACAGGAUUCUCAACUCCAAUGAUGUCUUGAUAAUAUUUCUACUUAUAUUGUGCUCUUUAUAAAUGUAUAUGAAUAUUUCUUACUUGUCUUUUUCUGUUUCUAUUCUAAUGGGGCCCUUGAUAUUUGCAAAAAGUUGGGUUUUCUUCUGGCUACCAAAUCUGUUCAACCAUUCUGUUAAAACAGCUCUUGACCCUUCUCUCCCCUUCACAUCCAAAAUAACCCUCACUGCAUUUGAUGCAGUACAAGUUCUUUACAAUGCAAAAAACAGUUUUUUUUUCAUCUUCUUGAAAUUAGCAACAUUGUGUACUUACUGUUUUUUGGGUGGGAAACCCUUUAAAAAGCCAAUUUAAGCCUUAAAGGCAGCUUGUGGCAGCUGCCCUUACAGGUUUUGACAAUUUAGUCCACUCCAAAUAAACAGAGGAAAAGAAGAAACGUGUUUAUUUAAGAACACUUGCUACACCAACAGCUUGUGUCAACCUACUGAUGAAAGUUCCCAAGGAAAGUGAUUGCAUAAUUGUGAUGGGGAUUGACAGGGACUUCCUAGCCUUCCAUUAAAGUCUCAAAGCAUGGUGGCUCUACUAGCAGAACAUGCUUACACUCAUGCAAGAUGGUCUCAAACAUGCCUGGGACCAUUUAUCAUUUUGACAGAUAUUGUCAAUAGCCUGUGCAGGCCACUUGAAGGCAUAUGGAGUGAAACUUGGGUUUUUUGUGUGUGAUAUGAUGGAUUGGGCACAUAAUGUCCUCAUUGUCUGAAAUAUUUACCAUGAAGGGUUUUUUUCUUUUUCUUUGCAGUGAAGCCUCAAAGUUCAAGGCAGCUGUGAACUUACUUAUACAUAUAGGCAGUGGCCAUUUUUGGAGCAUCCGAUAUGUGCAUGACCACAUGUUUGCAGGGUUUUUCAAUGGGUGUUCCUAGGGCACUGUGUUUAUUGGCUUUACUGUGGUUGCUGUUUUCGGAGUCGAGAAGGAAUUUGCCUGAAAACAGAUUGGCCCUGUUUGUAGGUUUUGCUUUCCCCAUAGCAAUAGUCACAAAUCUGGUGAAUUGGGUGGAAUACUUCUACUUUAAAAUCAGGCGGCGUGGGGUGGCGUGGGGGUGGGUGAAGUGGUUCAUCCCCCCACCUCUGAACAGUGUGCUAACAGGGUACACCAUUAGAGGGGUCUCACUGGAAUUCUUUGCCCCAAAGCCAAGGUAUCCGGCCGAUGGGCCAUAGAGCUUCCUUCAGAGGCUUGGAUGGGUCAUCUGUGUAGACCUGUGUCUUGCAGAGGAGCCAUUAAUCCUGGGAUGAACCCUGUCAUGUGAGAGUGCUCCACCAGCAGGGCUGUGAGAGAUAUAUACCCAGUACCUAAGCCAAGUCCAACCAACAUCUGGAAUCAAUAAAGUUGUGGCCAAUUUUAAUCCCAGAACAUUGUCCUGCCCAGUUUGUUCUCCUUCACAGGCGGGGGCCUUGCUUCUGAGGGAGGGGACACUGAGAGUGGGUCUGCAAUGGGCCCAAGUCCCUCACCCACUAUCAAAUACUACCCUCUCCACCUCUCAACCCUGGAAGGCUCCAGUUACAGAAGGUACUGUAUACUUUCACUGGGUGGGGUGGAGUUAUAAAACUACUUCAGUAACUCCCAACCACAGAUUCUUACCAUAAACAAUAUUGAACAACCCUGACAAAUAACCAAUGUCAAUAUUAGUAGCAACUAGAAAUAGGCACAGAUAGAUAUGAUAGCAGAUGCAAAACAAACACUAACCUUGCUCCAGUGGUGUCCCCAAAGAUAUUUCAUUAUUCAUGCACUUAAAAAUCUUCUGUUUCCACUAAACUGAAAUCUCAUUUAUUUAGUAAAGAUGAUGCAUAUUGAGCUACCUGUUUUGUUAUAAAUGACAAUCGCUCAGUCAUCAGUUGUAUCAUGAUAUAGAAUGGUUUUUCAGAAAAUGUUGGCAUGCAGAAUGCUGUGACAUUUGGCCAUUACUUUCUGACACACCAUUAUGGGUUAUUCUAUAAAUUGGUUAUAGUUUCUCUCAGUUGUUCUCUCUUUUAUAUAUUUGUAUUAUCUCUGGAUUGUUAUUGUAUGUUUUCCCAUUAAAGCCAAAUACAGUAUGUGGGAGUGAAGGAUUUGGCAGAGUGGUCCAGUUCUAUAUGGUGCCGUGCUUACCUGAAGGCACUUGAGAUGUUAGCUUCCUCCUCUAGAGACACACUAGAACUUGAUUUCUUGGCUUGCUUUUGUGUUUUUGUGCGCACACGAAGUGUGUAUGCAUGUGUGCACCUUAGCAUGUUUAGGACACAAAAGCAUUUCCAGAUGAAUGGAUAAUGUCCAAAUGUUUGCUUUUUGACAGUUAGCAUUGAAAACAAGGAGGGAUUUUUUUUUUGUCACGGUCAGUCUACUUUAAUUAUUAUUUACCAAAAAGCUACAACAGUAUUUGCUUUCCAACAAAUCACAACCUUGUGAUAACCAGUGGAGCCUGAGGAUACCAAGGUUCAUCAUUCUAUUCUAGCACCUUUGUGAAAUGUAUAGGGUGAAUCUUUAGCUAUUUCACACCCUUUCAGGAUUGCUGUGCUGCUAUUUUGUUGUUGUUAAGAAAGAAAAUCCAAAUGGCUCACAAAUUAAAAGAAAACAUUAAAAACAAUAACAUGCAAUAAAACAAUAUUAAAAUAUGCAAGCUAAACAGCAUGGAGACUACAAAAUGGAAGAACCCAAUAGGGGGAUGCAAAGCACCAACCCUCUCUCCGCAAAGCCUUUUCAAGCAAAAGUGUCUUAAUAUAAUGACAUAAAGGCAGGUGUGAAGGGGCCACAUAGACAUCCCAGGGGAGGCGCAGGUGAGAUAACAAUUGCAAUGCAUUCUCUGCUCAGAAAAAAUUCAAUAGAAAGGAAUAAAAAUGGUAAUAAGACCAAGUGUUUUAAUACAGUACCUUUACUAAUAGUUUCAAAAUUCCAGAUGGCCAUUAUAGCCCAUUACCUGUUGAUAGGCUAAGGAAGCAAAUCUCAUCAUGAGCUCACUUCCUUCCGUGGGCAUUGUUUCGUACAAAAAUAAAUCUGCAUGUGCCCAUACAAAUGUUCUUGCAAAGUCUGGCAAGUAAGUGUUAACAGGAUAACUUUUGGAAUGUCUCCUUACUUUAAAAAACAAAGUGCAAUAAUUUGUGAGUAGUGGCCAACUAGUUCUUACUGCACCAAGGCAAACUAUUGGAACCAGCAUGGGCUGUGGAAUCUGAAUGGCUAUAUAUCUGGUGUUGGUGGAAAGAAAAGAGAGUGCUUACUUUAUGGUCACCAGUGGCAGGCUGCAGAAAGUGACCCAUGCUUGGCUCAUAAUCUUUGGGAGUACUCGUGUGACCCUCCCCAUGAUAUUUUGAGUCUGUAUGGACUCCCCCAGAUGAUCUGAUUAUGGGGCAUUCAUCUUUAUAUUGCUUGCACAAAACUUAUGUGGCUAUUUUACAAUACUGGCUCUUUACUGAGAAUUCGUUUGGGUUUGUUCACAGGGAAGUUAGAGAACAAUGACCAUCCAUCUUGAUUUGCAUGGGAGGAGAUUGUCAAAGAAAAGGAACUUGUGUUGAGGUGGUGAGUCAGACCAAGGGAUCCAGGCCCUUCAGGGGAAAUGGCAAUCUAGCCUUCCCUGGACAACACAGGCAGUUGCUUCUUAGACCGUGAGGCAGAUGUUACCAAGGCCGAAAUGUUCCAUAUUGGUUGGGAUAAACUCAGACUCGCCUCCUAAUGUGGAGCACUCAUAAAAAUAUGAAACUCAGCAAUAAUUCCCCAAAAGAGAAUUGGUUUGUUGACAUUUUCUAAUGUUUUCAAUGAACUUCUUUCUGUAGCAUCUUAUGCUGUUUUAAUAGAGCUAAUAUAAAAAGAGGGGGGUGCACUACAUUUAAUAUGUAAUGCACACAUACUGAAGAAAUAGAAGCAGAUGGCCAACAAUUGCAAUCAAAAAGAAAUUAAGAUGGUUGUCAAAACAUUGUGCAAAUGAGUGAUCUUUUCUGGGCAAGCAUACAAGAGGAAAAUCUAUUUAGACAAGCAAUGCUUCUUAAAAAUGGCUAUAACAUGAGGCCCUAAAAGCCAGCCACUUUAUAGCGUUCUUCUAAUUUUGCACCUUUUUUCUGUCCUUUUUUCUUCUUACACUUGGCAUAAUCUGCACCAUACACCACAUGAUUUUUCUCACCCCAUUUAAAUCUCAGUUUAACACAUAUAGCACCAAAAUGAAGCCACUCCCUACAACCAUAGGACAUGCAUGCCAAGGCCUACCUAUUUUCAUGUGGAUAAACAGGAUUCAGUACAGAGUUUUGUUUUAAAUCAACACCUUCAGACAUGGUAUAAUGUAAGAAUCAGCAACCAUAGAGCAUAAUGUCCCAUAAAUGCCUUAUUUAUUGUGCAGGGAUUUCUUGCAGAUUUACAGGAGGUCACCUUUUUUCUGAUGGGAGCUGCAUUUCCUCAGGGACAUUCUGUUGGGGACUGCAUAUUGGAAGUGAGCAGAACAGGAGCCCCAAGUGGGUGGGGCCUGAACCAAAUAUGGGUGGUGCCAUUCCCUUUUAUUUAUUUCUGCCACUCCUUUGUUUUCCACUCUUUCUCUUUCUGCUAGCCACUUUUCCCUUCCUCCUCCUCCUUGCCAGACCUAUGGCUCACUAAAACUGUGAUAAGGGUUAUGUGUUGUCUACCUGUCACCUACAGCAUCAAUCAAAGUGCCCUCUAAGUUCAGUGGAUCUUAUUCCACUCCUAAGCAAGUUUCCACAGGAUUUCAUGACCACAGGAAGUAGCCUUGUACUAAGUCAGACCAUUGGCCCAUCUCACUUAGUACUGUCUACAUUGACUGGUAGUGGCUUUCCAGGUUUCAGACAAGAGCCUACUGGGAGAGGCUGUAUAAUUGAUAGACGAGAAAUGCUUGAGAGGAGCACAGUUGCUCUUGGAAUCCUAGCUCCAGGUUCUCGAAAGGUCCAUUACCAAACUGGAUAUGGAACAUAAACCAGUUUCCAUAGUAGUAGUUAGCAGUGUUUCAGCCAACAAGUCAAGGAGAGAAGAGAUCAAAUAAGCACCACAUCUAGCAUAAGGCUUACGUAUUGGUCCUAGGAACCAGGCAAACAAAAUCAAGUGGCAUUUGUUCUUCAAAAACACAAAAUGCCAACAGACAAAAGCAAUCCCACAAGUCUAGGAAUUAAGGAACAGCUUGUCCUCUAUGCAACGCCUGUAUUUUGCUUCCAGACAUUUGUGAACAUCUUUGAGGAAGUGCCAAAUAUUCCGGAAGUGGAGGAGUUAUAGUCAUCUCUGAAAUAUUGUGGGGAAAAUAGGGGGGAGGGGAGGUGACUCUGGCUCAGAUGAACAGGGAAAAACAGCUUUGUGGCAGGUCACUCUGGCUCUCGUUGACCUUGGCCCAGUUGCAAGAGUCAUAUUUCAGAUACAUUAGCUGCCCUUGAACAAUUUCUCUAGUGUCUUAUAGGUACAAACAUCUUUUCUUCUGCAUGAAAUGUGCUGGUCUGUUUCUUCUUUCCUUCUCUACCUCUCCAUCCUCUGCCAAGAUAAUCCAGAGAAUAAUUCAUGCUCCACUCACUGGAUUUUCAUUUCUGAGGACUCAGGAGAAUUUAGAAAGGGUUUUAUUCUCUCUUGUAGGAAAGUAAAUGAAACAUAAGACAAUGGGUUGAUGUUUAUACCUUCUAUCUGAGUUCCUAAGGAAGAUGGCUGUCAUUAACACACAAUAAUAGCUCAGUGGUCAAACAUCUGCUUUGCAUGCAGAAGGUCCCUGGUCCACUACCAUAUCCAGGUAGGGCUGGGAAUGUUCCCUGGCUGAAACCCUGUAGACAAUACUGAGAUAGAUGGACCAAUGGUCUGUCUCACUAUAAGGCAAUAUCAGAUGUUCCUAUGUUACUACGGCAUCACAAAAUGUGUUGGGAAUUCCCAUAUGUACACAAUACUUCAGGGAGAAGAGAGAAUUAAUGCAAUUUUACUCCCCUUCUCUGACAGGAGUGUUCUGUGAGUAGAAUUCCACUUACAGGACAUCUGGAUUCAACACAAACACACUUUAAAGAUUUAUGUCCCACAAAAAGUUCUGUGCCUCCCUUACCAGGCUUUGAGGUGGUGCCCCUUCAGCUCAGCACCCAGGGUGUGACUUUUGAGCCAAAGAGUGGUGUAUACAUAAAUAAAAGCAAUAACACCAACAACAAUGUAAUGAACAAAUUUCAAGAAAAAAUAUAGUUACUGAUGGAAAAAAGAAAACGCACAUGAAAUCUGCAUGGCCAAGUCAACUUUAUUUGCAGAAUUCUAAUUUGGGUCCAGUAGGUAGCUAAUUUUAACCUGCCGGAGGUUAGUUAUUUUGAUUUCUCCCCCCUCCUAAAAUACCAAAAAGGAUUAAGCUGUAACAUGGAUUAAGCACUUGUCAAGAAUAAUUUUGUUAAGUGAAACAGUAUGUAUGAGGACUAGAUGGCUCAGUGCUCUGGUGAUGGGAUAGCUUUCUAGGUCAGCAGUUCACAAAUGUCCUAGUUCAGCUGCAAAUCAAGUUAAUCAGUACAUUUUAAAAAGUCCCCUGCCCAGUGGUGUAAGUUGAAUGAAUUAGAGACCACAGUAAUGUUGCUAGCAGAAUCCCCACAUAAAUGUCUAUCUGCCAAAUGACCAGUUUCUUUUUUCUAGAUAGAUAGUAGAGAUCAGACAGAACUUUUUUGCUUUUUAAUAAGUCUUUAUGUGCCCCUAUCUGGCAUUCAUUAAAAGUGCAUUAUGGGAAAAUCUCCUCUGCUGCUAGAUAUGCCAUGUGGUUCUGUGGCUGGGAUCCUAAGAACUGUGCAUGUACACUGCUAUAAGUUUGCCUCCUCAUUUUCCUGCAGCUGCUUCCACUGCAGAAGAGGCAAGGGGUUUUUCAAACGGAAAAGUGGCUUGUCGCUUUGGCAAUGGUAACUGCUGCAGAAAAACCAGAAAGCAGAUUUUUAGUUGUGCCUGUGGUUCUCUUCCAGGCACACACACCCUUCCGAUGGAUAAUGUACAUUUGGUAUUGAUAUCAUUCUAAUUCCGAGAUGAGAAAUCUUUCUCAAUGCAAUUUAACAUCAAGAGGAAAAGUGAAGCUGGAUUUAAGGAAGCAAAUUCAGAUUCAAAGAAAAGCUGAACCUCUAGCCUUAACGAAAGCCUGCUGGGCAGUAUCAUGUUUCCUAUGCUGAAUCUCAACCAAAGAUUAUACACUGUUGGAUAAAAUGUGAAUUUUGUUUUGCUGUUGCUGGUUUUUUUAUUUAUUAAACAAACAAAC
rnacentral:lncRNA from 1 species